CGCGCCGCCGCCUCCGCGAUGAGGGCCAAGGUUCGUUCCCGAUUCCCCUCUACCUUCUCAUCCGACUGCUCGAUGCGAUCUAGUGGUUCUCGCUCGGUAGUGGUAGUUGCUUGCUUGUUUGCGGUUCUCUGUGAUGAUGAAAACAGAUGACGAGUCCGAUGCAAUCCAUUCUACAAAACCGUGUGGACAAUCGAGGCAUUUGUCUGAGAGAACGUUCGAUUUUGUAGAUGCAGCCUUGUAGAUGUAUAGGCAUGUGUUCGAUUGAGUCUAGAUGUGAUUUGUAUUGGUUAGAUUUGUUUUGUUUUUGUUUUUGGUUCUCUGUGAUGAUCAACACUGAUUAGAUGUCCGAUCCAAUCCAUUCCAUUCAACCGUGGGGACAACACGAGGCAUUUGUCUGAGAGAACUCUGAUUUUGUUCAAACAUUUGAUUUGCGAUUGCGGUGCGACUCUCUUGAUAAGGUUAGAUUUGCUUGUCCGCCUGUCUCACUCAAGUCAAAUCGUUGAUGUUUCUGGGGUUAUUUUUCUCUAUGAUGAUGAAAACAGAUGACGAGUCUGAUGCAAUCCAUUCUAUUAAACCGUGUGGACAAUCGAGGCAUUUGUCUGAGAGAAAGCUAUUCAAUGCCCAUCCGCCUUUGUCUUAUUUGUUCUAGUCAUAAUGUGUGUAGGUUUCUCGUUCUAAGAUUGGAUUAGCUUGGCUGCUUGUGUUAGUUAUAUGUACUCCCUCCGUUCCUAAAUACAAGUCUUUGAAGAGAUUUCACUACAAGUCUACAUACGGAUGUAUAUAGACAUAUUUUAGAAUGUACAUUCAUUCAUUUUACUUCGUAUGUAGUCACUCAGUGAAAUCUUUAAAAAGACUUAUAUUUAGGAACGGAGGGAGUAGUUGAUAUUGGUGUGUUCGUUCUCUGUGAUGAUGAAAACAGAUGACGAGUCUGAUGUAAUCCAUUCUAUUACACCAUGUGGACAAUCGAGGCAUUUGUCUGAGAGAACAUUGAUUGCUUAGCCAUUUCCUUUUUUCAACUGUUUUUUGUAUAAUUGCGUCGUUGGCAUGAUGAGGAAGACAAUUGUUGUCUGAUCUAUUUGAUGAUAAAAUCCUCCUACUCAUUCUGAAUGUCAAACAGACUGCAAAUCUGCUGUGUUUAACUAGUUGUAGAUAUCAUAGUUGUUUUAUAUAUGCCUUUGAAAUUGACUUCAGUUUGGGAAAUGACGAAGAACAAUUGGUCCGUGUUUCUGAAAAUCACAUGAUGAUAUCCAAUGAAACACUCAAAUCUUCUGAUUCUAAAUCACAUAGUACUAUCAUUCCAAAUUUUAUAAUGGACUUGUUAUUAUUAUCCUAUGCAUAUUCUUGAGUGUUCAUUUUUCCACCGUUUUUUGUGUAAUUGCGUUGCUGGCAUGAUGAGGAAGACAAUUUUAGUCUUAUCUAUUUGAUGAUAAAAUCCUCCUACUCAUUCUGAAUGUCAAGCUGACUGCAGAUCUCUAGUUUGCUCAACUAGUUCUUCAGAUAUCUUAGCAUAGUUGUUUCCUAUUUGCCUUUGAAUUGACUUUAGGUUGGGAAAAUGAUGAAGAACAAUUGGUCCGUGUUUCUGAAAAUCAUGUGAUGAUAUCCAAUGAAACACUCAAUCUUCUGAUUCCAAAUCAAAUACUACCAUAUCUGAGUUAUUAUAUUGGAUUUGUUAUUGUGUUCCUAUGCAUCUCCUAGAGUACUAGCACUAUGCAAUUUGUAUUAAUGAACUGUGGUUUUUGUAAUUUGCAGUGGAAGAAGAAGAGGAUGAGGAGGCUCAAGAGGAAGCGCCGAAAGAUGAGGCAGCGUUCCAAGUAGGCGAACAAAGAGGAGAUAACCUUGUAUCAAUGCACCAGUCUGUUGGGUCGUUUGGUUCCUGAUAUGUCUUGUUGUUUUGAUAUUGGGGAUGCCAACCCUUGUAACAAGAUGAUUAUAUGCUUAUCUUCAAAGCUGGAUAUUCGGCUUAAGAAAUAUUAUCGGCUAUUUUUGAUUUGUUGCCCUGUCUGUUUCUUAUUUUCUUGCAUGCAUCUGAAUGUUUUUGUCUUAGUCGAAUGGUAUUUCAGUUUUUUUUUUCAUUUGUUUCUCAUAAGCAUAUGUACAACUGGAAUUGCUCGGUUCCUGGCGCAAAUGUCUCUUGGAAAGAGAGGAACAACCGAUGCGGUAAUUGGUAUGGGGAUCUGAGCUGCGACGCUUUUUGAGAGAAUACAGGAUUAUCUGCAACUGCCACCAUCAGUUCAUAGUGAUUUUUGGGGCAACACUCUCUCAUUGUUUGGCUGCCUUUCUCCAUGUGUAAACUUCCAUGAUUUCCUGAGCGAAUCAAUAUUUGUGGGGUGAGUAUAGACGCAAUGUAGCCUUGCACGGUGUCGCCCUACUGCCCUUUGCGAGCCAUUGCCAUCAAACAAGUAUAGCUGGCGUGGCAGUACGACGAGGAGACAGACCGCCUUUACUGGCGUGUAAGUAGUGAAGGGCUUACACAGACCUCGUUCUACCCUUCCAAAAAUUAAACCACAAACCUUCCAAUACUCGCGUGUGCCCUACUGCCCUUCGCGAGCCAUUGCCAUCAAACAAGUAUAGCUUACUGGCGUGUAAGUAGUGAAGGGCUUACACAGACCUCGUUCUACCCUUCCAAAAAUUAAACCACAAACCUUCCAAUACUCGCGUGUGAGGAGACGCUCCCCUCUCCUUGCGAAAUUUCUCCGCCAACAAUGACGGCGCCGCCUCCUCCGCGUAAAGGGUUUAGGGUUUAGGUCUGUCUCCUCGUCGUACUGCCACGCCAGCUGGGUGCCGUCGGGAUCAUCUGUCUCUGGAUACCUGUACCUGCUGGGAGUUUCGGAGGAAUCCGUGAGCCACGGGGACUCGGCAAUCUAAGACCUUGGUGCCAGAACUACUCAUGUUAUUGGGUAAGGUAAGGGUGAAGUGUAUCAGGCUGCUGCAACCUAUGAUUGAAUAAGUGGCUAACUUACGCAAAAGAGAAGUGAAGGUGGUCUACGCUAACGGUCGGGAUUACUUGAUCAGGAAGUGAUCCUGAACACCUACCUACGGCAUUCAUAUCCCCAUCGUGUUCCCGAUCGAAGAGGGGUCUUCGAAGGGACAGUCACGGUUACGCACACAGUUGGCAGUUUUAUUAAUUUAUGUUCAAGUUCUCUAAUACCGGAUGUUAACAAAAUAUUCCUAGUUGCCACAUAACCGCGGGCACGGCUUUCCGAAAGAUUAAACCCUGCAGGGGUGCUCCAACUAGUCCAUCACAAACGAACACAGGCCGCAAAGGCAUCCUCUAUCACGAAUCUCGUGAUCUCGUCGGAUUCCUUAGAGGAAAACCUCAACUCUGGGGGAAACCAAAGCUUCACUGGUAUUCCUAUACGCAAGAUAUACCGCUAAGGUAAGACAAGGCUAGCAGGACCUCCCGUCGUGUCGACGACCCUGAUAAGAGCCGCGUAUCUCAGUCUCAGGACAAGACAGAUGAGCUAGACGUCGGGAUGGCUAAACCUCUGGGUGACCAGUGGGGCCCCGGACAUCGCUCAGGUGGGGCCAACACUCAUGAGGAGCACUGGCCCGCGUUGUUGAUUAAAUUCCUCGGGGUAGCUAUUCCCUAUGCAGAUUAUUAUGUGAUUAGCAGAUUAAAACCAAAGUUGGGUCCUGCCGGACAAGCCUUAGCACUACGCGAUUUAUCGAGGGGGUCCCCAUAACAACCCCGAAUGUGUUAGGAGCGAUCAUUAUGGAAUCAAACACCGGUAACCGGUAACUAAGGCGGCAAUAACGGAACAAGACACCCGACAAAAGGCUAGGCCUCCCGUCAUUUACCAAGUAUAUAGGUGCAUUAAUUAAAUAACAGAAUUUAAGGUAAUGAUAUCAAGCUCAUGUUUAUCACAUGAGUCAAAAAAACACCUGCAACUAGCAAUGCUAACAUUAGUAGCUGAGCAAGCCUACUUAGCCACACAAGUUUGCUAGGAAGGAGAACGGUGUUUGGGCUCAUGGCAUUUCAAGAGGCAAUUUAAUUCAGUGGUAGGCAACGAGCAAUAUGACAUGGAAACGAAACUAACAUAACAAGUCUAGAGAUGGAAUCAAGGUCAUAUCAUCUUGCGUGUGAUAUCCUCAGCUUGGAAUGGUUCUGGAUCGUCCUGCACGUACUCUCCUGACUCCACGUAUUCGUUCUCCGAUCCCGGUGCUACCCAACAUAAUAAUAACAGCCAAUGAACAGCAGCACCACAAGAUGCAACAAUCACAUGAUGCAUGGGAUGAAAGUUGAGCAUGCAUCACUAUUUCUAUCACACGCACAAGCAAAAUAAACUACAACAAGUUUCUGGACAGAACUGUACACUAAGCUAUUUUUACAUGCAUGAGAAAGACAUGAACAGAUGCGGCUCGUGAAAACGGUGCAAAACCAUAUAAAGAACAUUGCAAACGGAGCUACGGAUCAACGGGAAUCAACGAAACAAGAUAUGAAGCUCUACGUGGAAGUUUCAACACCACACUCACAAUUGGCACAAAUAUGAUAUUCCCAGGUUUCCAAGACAUGCAACAACCCAACAUGAAUGAAUUGGAGCAAGGUAGAACACCACAACAUCAAUUAAGCACAUACUUUGAUCAAAAUGACAAAACUCCAUAAUCUGCCAUAAUCUGCAUCUUAGCUCUUUGGGAGCUGCAUGCAACAUAGCUACAGGUCUUCAAACAUGACAAAUAAUACAUGUGGAUGUUGCCAACCAAGAACACUACAAGCAACAGCAAGAAUCACAGCAAAAGUAAUUAAACUCUAUAAGAUACAAGCCCACAAACUUUCCCAAAACCAUCAGAUCUCAGGGACUUAGUGAAAAUUCCUGCACCUGAGUUUCUGUCUCUGUUCUUAAGCUUUUUGACAGCAAUCAAAACACAACCUAAUGGACUCCAAAUGACUUUAAAAUUUACAGGGAGCUUCAAAAACAUAUCGGGUUCAAAAUCUUAGCACUGAACUAAGGCCAGUUCUCAACAGAAUGACCAGCACAUUCUCAUCUAUAAGAGAAGAAAAUGUUUCCAGCAUUCCAGACUUAGUGAAAUUGCAGAGUUCACUAAUCUGGGAUUUUUCCAGCCACAUGCCCACUUUGUCUAGGCAUAGUUUGCACACACACAACACCAAGAGGUAAUUGACACCACUAUGGUGUAGAGAAAAACUCCUACUACUAACACACAAAAACUCAUGCCCUUGGGCUCCACCUAUUCCAUGGAAUCAAGGCUCAAACUUGCAACAAAACUGAAUAUGCAACCCCAUAAAACACCCUACUAAGACAACCACUACCAAGGUAGAGUUCAUGUGCACAAUGACAAAGUGACAUGGGAUUUUGAACCCCAUGUUUGUGUCAUGCCCAUCAACAACACCAAUGCUUAUCACAAGCCAACCCCCCACACACAACAUGCUCUCUCUCAUAUUAAACAUGAGGAGGUGCACCACUUGCAAAGGUGGGAAGGUCCACACACACACACACAUUAGCAUCACUUGGAGCAAGAACCCAACUCCAAGCAUAAGGGAAACACACUCACAUCAUAACUAUACUAGUGCAACCCCAAGCUAAUACACACACACCACAAACUACUUCCACCAAAGCUUGAACUUCAAGGCUUGUGCAAUUGCACAAGCAUGUGUGUAGGGUUACACACACACUUGCACACACAUCAACCUCAAGCUCAAACUCACAUGCACCUAGAUCCACACCACUACUACCAUCACACCACCCUACAUACAUGCCUUCUCUUAUUCCUCCAACAAAUAACAGGGAAGGAAAAAUACAUAAGGCAUAGGUAUUCCAUUGAACUAGGCAUGGAGUAGCACACAAAGCAAGGGAAAAAAACAACAAAAAACAGAAAGAAAGAAAAGGAAAAAGAAUUGGGGGCUCUCUGGGAUUCGAACCCCAGAGCCCCUGGUUCCACACCCACACACAAUUCCAUUGCGCUGCUGCUACGGCGGUUGACGAGGGAGGUGGUGCAAGUAGGGUAAGGUUUCCCCGCAGUGCUCUAAAUCGCAAACAAAACAACCAAAAAAAGAAAGUGCCGAGGGGGGGGGGGGACUCGAACCCACGCCCUCCUACAGGCACCACACACACACACCACUGGGCUACGAAACGGAUACUGACAGAGGGGGGAAACUGAAACAGGUAAGCUAACACUCCCAUCAGACUUGCUCUGCACCUGCGCGUGAGCUGCUGCUCGCCGGCGACAGAGAAGGCGCCGUGGCUCUCUUCUGCGUCACUGAGGCACCUCGCUCUUCUACGCUACUGCCGGCUGCUACCCGGAGCUAGCCCUCUCCACCUAGCUACACCACGAAAACAACAAGGCACAACACACACUACUGUACUGCUCGGGUCAGGGAUGCCCGACAACACAGCUCGCCGGCCGGACCUGAACCUGCUGUUGUUGCACACUGCUACUAGCCGGCAGCUACGUAGGGAGGGAGCCCUGCUACCUGCGACACCGAAAUCACCAUGACUCCUACUCGACCUGCUGCUGAUCUACUGCUAUGCUGGGAAGAAACCGUGCUACGAACACCACCUACACUGCUACCGGCUACCUGACAGAGAAGAAGGGCGCACCACUACGGCGGAUCCAAGACGGAACCGAGGCGGAGGAAGGAAGGGGAGGUGAUCUGCUCACCUUGGGAACGGAAGGAGGAACCGAUCGAAGGAGGAGGAAGACCGGAGAGGAAGAAGGUGCUCGGAGAAGUCCCUGCCCUGUCGAACCGAAGUAGGACGGAGAGACCCCCCGGGGCGGAGCCAUAGACGGACUCGUGCUCGUCGGUGAGGACGCCCCUCGUCCUCAGCGACGGCGGGAAUGGAGCGCGGGGUGCAGCCCCUGGACAUGGCGGACUCGUCGGACGGCGACGCACGCGGGGUAGACGCGGCGAGCUCCACCCUCUCUCUCUCUGUUGCUAGACUACAGGCCUUACCUGCGGGGAGGAAGAGAGAUGGGGAAGGUGGCGGCGCACUGGAGGGGAAGAAGGAACCCUACGGAGGAGGAGGAAGACCGGGGGCUCCUUAUAUCGUCUUGGGAGGCGAGCUUGGAGCCACCAGAUCGAUGGGAAGGAAGAUCAGUGGUGGAGCGCUGUUCGUACAACGUGACGUCGCCACGAGGAAGAAGAGGGACGGCGAGUGGGCUGCUGGCGCGAGGGACCUGGGCCAGGGAGGAAAUGGGCUUCAAAUGCUAGGGAGAGAAUAAAAGAAACCUGGCCCUCUCCCAUAUUAUAUAUAAACGCCAUCUCAGCAAAAAAAAUACACCAAGAACAACUAAGGUCUUAGAAAAAAAUAAAAACAAAUACCCCUGGGCACAAGGGAUUUAUGCCCAAAUUUCUAAAAUACCAAAAUGAUAUUUUUACAACUAAAAUAAUAAUUGACAAUCAGAUUAAAAUAAUCUGAAAAUAAAGGAAAAACCCCAAACAAAAUAAGUUUAAAAACCCCUCUGCUACAUACCCAUAUACCAACUAAAAUGCUCUAAAGGUGCAACAUUUUUAUAACAACAUUGGAGCAAAAGGAUUUGAACUUGGGAAAAAGAAUAUAAAAAAAAAGGUUUGGACUACACAAGGGGGUUUGUAAUUGAUGCCAAGCACCACCCUCUCAUUACUUCACACCACAACAACACCUAUGCAUCAACACAUGAAAUCACAAUAUACAUGACCACAAGAUUAAAAGCACCACAUGAAAUCAUAUGACCACAUGCACCAACACCUAACACCUGUAAUGAUAUGAUGUGCUAUGCAUGCAUGCAUGAGAAGGAAAAGCAAGAAACACACAUGAAAUCACAGUACCAACUUAACAUCAUGAUCUCUUACAAGGUGGUCCCACAUGAAGUAGGUCCAAAAUGGGUAGGUUUUACACCUGGGGCAUUACAAACUCUCCCACACUACAAAGAAGAUCUCGACCUCGAGAUCUAAGACUGAAAGAAAUCGGGAAAUUCGGAACGGAGGUGAUCCUCGCGUUCGCACGUAGCCUCUUUAUCGGAAUGGUGUGACCAGUGCACUUUGAGAAACUUGACAGUCUUGUUACGAGUCUUGCGCUCAGUCGCCUCGAGAACCGCAGCUGGAUGCUCACGAUAAGAAAGGUCAGGCUGAAGAUCGAUAUCUUGAAGAUGCACAGUGCGCUCGGGGUUCUUGAAACACCUCCGAAGCUGAGAAACAUGGAACACAUCAUGGACAUUUGCAAAGGUUGACGGAAGCUCGAGCUGGUACGCAAGGUCGCCCCUCUUGCCAACCACUCUGAACAGAGCAAUGAAACGAGGUGCAAGCUUGCCUUUGAUGCCAAAAUGCCGCAUAUCCUUCAUAGGCGACACCUUGAGAUAGACAAAAUCAUCAAGCUCAUACGACAUGUCACGGUGCUUGCUAUCGUAAUAGCUCUUCUGACGGGACUGAGCUGCUCUGAGGUUGUCGCGAAUGAUCCGACACAUCUCCUUAGCUUCUUCUAUCAUACCAUUGCCAAGGAUCUGACGCUCGCCUGUCUGGGACCAGUUGAGCGGAGUACGACACUUCCUGCCAUAGAGAAUUUCAAACGGAGCCUUGCCAGAACUAGCUUGAUAACUGUUGUUAUACGAGAACUCCGCGAAAGGCAGGCAAUCCUCCCACUUCAUGCCAAAAGAGAUAACAUAGGCUCUCAGCAUGUCCUCAAGAACUUGAUUCACUCUCUCCACUUGACCACUAGUCUGAGGAUGGUACGCUGUGCUGAAGCGGAUCUUUGUGCCCAUAGCAGACUGAAAGGAGUCCCAGAACUUGGAAGUGAAGAUACUUCCGUGAUCUGACGAUAUCAUCAUAGGUACACCGUGCAACGAGACGAUCCUCGAGGUGUACAACUCUGACAGCUGAGCUGCUGAAAUGGACUCCUUGACUGGAAGGAAAUGCGCCACUUUACUCAAUUUGUCGAUGACGACGAAGAUAGCAUCAUUGCCCUUCUUGGACUUCGGAAACCCGGUGACGAAGUCCAUCUCAAUGUGAUCGAACUUCCACUCGGGAAUCGGCAAAGGCUGCAAGAGGCCCGCUGGUCUUUGAUGUUCCGCUUUCACCCUUUGACAUACCUCACAUUCGUUAACGAAUUGUGCAAUUUCACGUUUCAUACGGGUCCACCAGAAAGUCUGCUUCAAGUCAUGGUACAUUUUGGAACUUCAAGGAUGAAUAGAGAGUAGAGAGUUAUGAGCUUCAUCCAUGAUCACCUUCCCGAGAUCACCCUUCGGGACGACAAGGCGGUCCUCGAAAAACAAAGUGUCCCUGGCAUCCACAGUGAAACACUUAUACUUGGGAAGACUCUUUCCNNNNNNNNNNNNNNNNNNNNNNNNNNNNNNNNNNNNNNAGGCUCUUUCCCACACCAAUCUUGACCUUCUUCACCAUAGCGUCAAGUAGCUGAGCUGCUCUGACCUGAUCUUCCAAGGUAGGAGAGAUCUGAAGGUUCGCAAGAAAACCCUGAGGAACCAGCUGAAGAUUGAGCUUCCUGAAAGACUCAGAAAGACCCGGCUGGAGAGGUUGCAGAAUCAGACUGUUGCAAUAUGCCUUCCUGCUCAAUGCAUCUGCCACAACAUUUGCCUUGCCUGGCGUGUACUCAACACUCGGAUUAUAAUCCUGGAGCAUUUCCACCCAACGUGUUUGCCGAAGAUUCAAGUUAGGUUGAGUGAAGAUAUACUUGAGGCUCUUGUGAUCGGUGAAGACUUCAACCUUACGUUCCAACAAGAGAUGUCUCCAAGUCAUCAAGGCGUGCACAACAGCUGCUAGCUCGAGAUCGUGCACAGGACAGUUCUUCUCCGCAGGCUUCAGCUGCCUGGAGGUAUAAGCAACCACCUUCCUAUCUUGCAUCAAGACUGCACCGGAACCCUGGAGAGAAGCAUUGCAAAAGACCUGGUACGGCUUGGAAUCAUCCGGAGGAGCCAAUACCGGAGUGGAGGUAAGCUUCUCUUUGAGUGUAUCGAAAGCCAGUUGACACUCUGGAGACCAAACAUACUUGACACCCUUCUGAAGAAGACUAGAGAGCGGCUUGGCGAUUUUGGAGAAGUUCUCAGCGAAUCUUCUGCAAUAUCCGGCAAGACCGAGAAAGCUUCGAAGCUGCUUCACAUUCUGCGGAGGUUCCCAUUCAACAAUGGCUUGAACCUUGGACGGGUCAACCUUAAUGCCCUCGGCAGAGAUAAUAUGCCCAAGAUAAACCACUUCUUUCAGCCAGAACUCGCACUUGGAAAACUUGGCAUACAGCUUGUAUUCUCUCAGUUUAUCAAGCACCAACCUGAGAUGUUUCUCAUGUUCUUCUUCAUCCUCAGAAAAGACCAGAAUGUCGUCGAGAUAGAGCAAGACAAACUCAUUCUUGAAUGGUGAGAAAAUAUAGUUCAUCAAUCGUCAAAAAGUCGGAGGAGCAUUAGCCAGACCAAAAGACAUGACCGUAUACUCAUACGAGCCAAAGCUAGUCCUGAAUGCCGUCUUCGGUAUGUCUUCCUCGCGAAUGCGAAUCUGAUGAUAGCCCAUUCUGAGAUCAAGCUUGGAGAAUACUUUAGCACCUUUCAGCUGCUCGAACAACUCAUUUAUGUUCGGAAGUGGAUAUUUGUUCUUGAUUGUCUUCUUGUUCAAUGGGCGGUAAUCGACACACAGCCGGUCCGAACCAUCCUUCUUCUUGACAAACAGAACACCACAUCCCCACGGAGACGAGCUUGGUCUGAUCAAACCCAAACGCUCCUGCUCAUCGAGUUGCCUCUUGAGUUCCUUCAACUCUUCUAGACCCAGCUUGUACGACCGCUUGCACACUGGCUCUGUGCCUGGCUCAAGUUCAAUGACGAACUCCACUUCGCGGUGCGGAGGCAUGCCUGGCAGCUCUUCAGGAAACACGUCUUGAUAUUCGCAGACUACUGGAACUUGCUCAAUGGGAUUGAUCUCACCCUUUUCAUUCAAGGAGAACAAGCGGAUUGUGUCAUCGCGCGCCGCGAAUAUAAUCACAUCCUCCGAAGAGUGGGUAAGUUUCACUUCUUUAGCUUCACAAUCAAUUGAUGCCUUAUUCAUGGCCGACCAGUCCAUACCAAGGAUCAAAUCAAUGUCGGACUUGCCCAAGACAUACGGAGAGGCCAGAAACGAAUAACUGCCCAUCUUGAUAGAAACAUCCGGAGCACGGGUCCUAGCAUGCAUGAACUUGCCUGGUGAAACUACUGACAACGGACUAGGAAGCUCUUCAACAGGAACAUUAUGCUUGGAUGCAAAUGGAAUGGAGAGGAACGAAUGCGAAGCACCAGAAUCAAACAAGACUUUAGCAGGAUUAUCAUUGACAAGGAGGUUACCCAUGAUCACAUCCGAUGAAUUUUCUACCUCAGCUGCAUUCACCAUGUUGACUCGAGCUGACCUGGGGUUGAACUUCACAAGAGCGUUGCUAGGAGGUUUGCCUGGAGGAGGAGGCGGCAGACGGAGCUGAGAAGUGCAUUUGUUGGCAUAGUGACCCUUCUUCCCACAUUUGUGACAAGUGACAUCUACUGGCUGCCGGAACUGAAUCUGAGGAGGCCCUUGCUUCUGAGGCUGGUAUCUCUGCUGGAAGCCAGGGUUGGGUGGGCGGGAAGAACCACGUCCACCUGAGUGCUUCGGCUGCUGAGAGUGCCGAGGAGGAGGAGGAGAAACCCAAAACCUCUGCUGCUUCUGAACCACCUGAGUCGAGGAAGAACUGGAAUCUCUGAAACGUUUCUUGGAGUUCUCCACCCUGAGCAAGGCUGCCUCUGCUCUGAGAGCUAAGUUGUAGAACUUGUCAAACUCCUGAGGAUCGUGCAAAGCAAGUGCUAACUGCAAAUCCUCCUUUAAGCCACCCCUGAACUGAUAGAUCUUGCUCUUCUGAUCUGGAACAUCCUGUAGCGCGUAACGGGCCAGCUCGUGGAACUCGACAUUGUACUUGUACAUAGAAUUGCUGCCCUGCUUCAAACGCCUGAACUUCUCACGCAUCUCCUCAACAAAACUGGAAGGGAUGUAGUGGGACCUGAAGUCACGACAAAACUCGUCCCAAGACAUCACCCUGCCACCUCUCGAGUCCUUAAGCUGCUGCCACCAAAUAGAAGCCUGCCCCUUCAACUGAAACGUUGCAAACUUGACAUAAUCCCCCGGACGCACAUUGCUACACUCAAAAUGCUUGUUCAUAUCACGGAUCCAAUCUUCCGCAUCAAACGGCUGGUCGCAAGAAGUGAACGUCUUAGGCUGGUUUGAGAGGAACUGACUCAGACUCGCGAAGUGAUUGCCACCCUGCUGGAAAUUGCCCUGCUGAUGAUUGGCUCUCUCCUGGAUCAACUGCAACAGCAUCUGCGUGUUUGCAUUAGUAGCUGCCAUCAUCGCCUGCCAGGCCUCUGCAGGAGGAGGCGGCGGCGGCGGAGGAGGAGGAGGUGGAGGCGGCAUAUCCUCACGCGCUGGGGUCUGACGAGUUGGUGGAGUCUGACCAUGGGUGUGCUUGCUUGGACGAAGUUCUUGCUAAUAUGCUUGCUUGGGGCUAUGCAGAUGUGAGUUGUUUACAUAAUAGCAAGAUUUGGUCUGCAACUUGUAGUCUAAUAUGGUUGUGCAAUGGAACUUGUAGGUUGUGCACUGGAAACAGUAAGUUGAAUGCAUGCAGAUCAUCCUCGGUCUUGGGUGGAUUGGGGGUUGGGGAGAGUUUCUGAUUUGCUUAAUCAUGGAACAUAGACGACAGUUUUCGUGUACAAAUUGAUGGAUUUUUCUCCUCAUGACUUAUAAUUGCUGUGUCCCAGCCUACUGGAUGCUAAAAGAUUGGAUUUUUUUAUUUUUCAUCAUCUUAGCAGAAUGUUGCAUAGCUGUUGUAAUUUGUGUUGUUCUGUUGUUGUACCAAAUAUAGGAAAUUAUGGGGGUGGGGGAUUUCUGGGGAAUUGAGGGGAUUUGGUGGAGGGGAGGGUAUCAUCAAAUCCCCACCAAUCCCCAAGCCCUUUGGGGGUGGAAAAACAUGUUGGGUCUAGUCCCACAUCGAUUGUGGGAGGAGACAUAACACGACUUAUAAGGGUGAGGGUGUCCCCUCCUAAUAGGCUAGUCUUUUGUGGGGGGGGGGGGGGGAGGGCCCAAGUCCUGUCAUAAGUCGGUGUUGCUCUUCGGUUGGGCCUGUUGACGCAUGUGGGUCGGAACGCUGGUGUUAGCGAACCCGAGAUUGCGUAACAAGUGGUAUCAGAGCCCAGGUGCCCGGAAUAAAUCUCGGUGGACUCACGGGUGGUCGGUCAUGGUUGGUGGGCUGGAGACGCUGGUAUUAGCGGGUCCAUGGGUGACCGAUGUGUGAGGAGGAGUUUGUUGGGUCUAGUCCCACAUCGAUUUUGGGAGAAGACAUAACACGACUUAUAAGGGUGAGGGUGUCCCCUCCUAAUAGGCUAGUCUUUUGGGGGGAGAGGGCCCAAGGCCUGCCAUAAGUCGGUGUUGCUCUCCGGUUGGGCCUGUUGACGCAUGUGGGUCGGAACGCUGGUGUUAACGGACCCGGGAUUGCGUAACAAAACACGAGUGCCAAAUGAGGCCUAAAUGUGAUUGUGAUGACACUAGGGGCAAGUUUCGACUCACUCGGGGAGGGGGAAGAAGGGUUUAAGAAUAAGAUACGGGAAGAACUGUCUGAAUGUUAAGAGAACGAAAUGCAUGCAUGAAAUCAAUGGCGCAGCUAGACAAGAUUCUUAGGGGGGGGACAAACAUAAAAUAUGGAUAUUUAAGGGGGUCAAAUGCUAAAAGUUUCCUAAUCUAAUCAGUCUUAUUUUUUUUUCUUCUUGCUUUUAGCCAAGGUUGGGGGCCACGUCACCUGCAGCGCUGCACAUAGCUGCAUGAAAUUGUGUAUGGCUGAUCGGUAAGGAUAAAUCACGAGUGGACAUGGUGCCACACGAGCAUGGUAUCCACCACUCAUUUCUUCGUGAUUCGUGUUGUAUUUACAUUGCCAAAAUGUAUAUGGGUCGUAUUCUAUGUAUAAUAGAUGAGUAUGGCCCACAAAUCUGCACAAGUGCAGUUAAAGCUCAUUGAUGACCACACCGAUCCCACACUACUGAUUAGAGGAGCUAUUCUCUUAGGCUGGUCACAAUGGAGAGUAACAUAAGGUAGGAACCUACACGCUUUCCUAGACUAUGUUCCUACCUCCACAAUGGGGAGUAACAUGUAUGUAGUGUCAUGCAACAAUGCAUUUAUUAGGCUAUAGACUCAUUGUUUCUUGGAGUGUGUGAUGUUCCGGUAACUUAGCUAGUUACCACAAGCACCUCUCUCUUCACUAAAUACGUGCCACAUAGCAAAGUUGUAUUGAAGUGUGUGAUGUUACUGCUAAGUUCCUCCCCAUUGUGACCAGCCUUAGUUAUUUGCAGCGUACAUCAACGCCAACCCGCACCAUUGCAUGCAUUUUCUCCCCAUUCAUUGUUUAUUCUGGAGCUCCUCUCGCACUCAUCUUGCUUCUCUAGUUCUCCCUCUUCGUUCAUGGCAUUGCUAGCUAGGAUUCAUACAUGGAGAUCUAGAGUUUCUUUUCAGAAAUAAUGAAGACGUGGAGUUGUAGCCGCAGCAGUCUCCCCCUAUCUCUCUCUCCCUUCCUCUCUUUCUCAGCUUUGAUGAUCAUGUGUCACUCAAUGACUGUCUAAGUGCAGUUCAUAUUCCUCACCCUCUCUUUCUCUCAAUCCUCUCGGUCGUGCCAAUAAUACUUCAUGUCCAUCUACUGGAACAACACCAACAUUUGUGUUCAUGUCCUAGUGUCCAGUUCAUCAAUGUCCUACAUCGAUUCUCCAGCUCCACCCAUGGGAUUUUUUACGACGUGGCCCAAGCAUGGCUCACAUUUCAAGUAAUCCUGUAUAAAUAAAUUUUCCUCUACCCAGCCAAUCUGAUGAUAAGAUUCAACAGUGUUCUUCAUACACCCACCUCCACCUACAUGAAGCAUAUCUAAACUACAUGUCCCGCAGAAGCCCACUCCCUCCCCCACCCACACCCAUUAUCUAGUACUGGCUGGUGGCUGCAUAUAGACUCUUCUAAAUGACAUGCAGACCAUCAAGUACCCAACAGAGAUUUAAAUCCAACACAUCUCACAGAGUGCUAAAACUCAACUAGUACCAGACAAAGUGCAUACAAAUUUAGAGUGUCAUGACCCACUCACUGCUGAGUAUUUCAUGUAUUAUUGAGUACCUGCCAUCGUAUUAGAAAAUGGCCUAUAUUAAUUAGUAAUCACAAAACACAAGCGGGUAGCCGAGAUUUCGGCAUCGCGUGGCACCAUGUCUCAAAAAUCCACGUCCUGCUCGGUAAGCACUAAUUAGUCCGGUGACAAGUUUUGUCAGCAGUUCAUUCUCUGUUUUCUCUUUGAUGGAUUAUUCUUAUUUUACGAACGAUGGUCUGGUUUGCAAUAAUUGACCCAAUGUGCAAGGUAAAGCUAGAGUCGAGAAUACUACCCCCUCUGUAUCACAAUACUUGUAGUUGGGGAGGGGGAAGGGGGGUGUACUUGUAUUAGUGUAUUUUAAUAACAAGUAUUUAGGUACAGAGCAAGUAGGUCCUAUCCCCGUGAGUAUCCUGUGUAGAUAUACGAUUACAAAGGGCAAUGGAUGGUACAAACACAGGGGGAAGCACAAUCACUCGCUCUUGCCGAAUUUUGGCAGGACGAUUCAUUGGCUAUCCCACAAAGCACAUCAGCGUGUUUUGCCACAGUGUACAACAUUAUCUGGAGUCUUUUUUGAUCAAUGGAGCGAUUUUUUCACUGUUUUGACUCAGGAGAUGAAAGUAAUGCACAAAAUGAACUUGAUCUGAAACUAUUUUACGAUUUGACCCUUUUAGAAACGUCAGAACCCGUGGCGUUGCUGGUGUACAUAGAAACGCCUGUCUACCGUGACGUUUCUGGUCCACAUUCAGACGCCAGUCUAGCUCGCGUUGCAGAUCAUCUAGAAACGCCACCCUCAGUGACGUUUCUACACAGGCGCCAAACGUCAUUAUGCAUGGCGUUUCUUACUCAUCCUUGCAUGCAUAUGUACGUUAGAUGAAUUGACGCCUCGGCCCUCGGGUCUGCCCCUGACCGCCGCUGCACGCACACAGCAGGUGGUGGUGGUGGAGGUGGCGUGGACACAUGCUAGCUACACAUCUCUGACUCCUGAGAGCAAGUACAAUAAGGUACAGUCAGCAGGCUAUAAGGAUUAAAAUACUAUAUUUUUGCUGAGUUGGAUGAGAGAGAAGAGGAGAGAGAAGGAAAGCGGGCUCUUCGUGAAGAGCCGAUUCUAGCACGUGCUCCUAGGUGCUUUGUGAGAAUGAAAGAUGGAUCAUAUAUGAUAAAAGUAGUACUCCCUCCGUCCGGGUGUAUAGGGCAUGCACGUAGUUCUAGGUCAUUAAUUUAACUAUUUAAAUAUGUAUUAUAUGUAAUAAAUAAUAUAUCAUUAGAUUCAUGCGAAGAUGUAGUUUCUGAAUAUGUAAUUUUCAUCGCAUAUAAUAUAUAUUUAGCUAGUUAAAUUGACAACCUAGAACCACGGGCAUGCCCUAUACACUUGGACGGAGGCAGUACUCUUUUACAGCUAACUAUUGUACAAGCGAGCUAUAAGAUGAGCUAUAAGGAUAGCCAGCAGUUGGCUAUACUAUUAACCAUGCUCUGAGCUAGUCGAGGUAGCAGCCGCUAGGUGAUGCAUGCGCCCUCGGUUUUGCACGGACGGACGGACGCGUGGGGGCACGUCCGCGGAUUUCGCUCCGGCUGCGAGACACGAGGGGCGAGGCUUCUCGUCGUCGUCGCCUCCGCGCCUUUGCUCCCGCCCACGGAUCUGCCUGGGAUCCCCUUCUACAGUGCACUGCAGCCUGCCGCCUCGGCCCUCUUUAUUGGCCCUGUUUGGAUCCCACUGCUAGAGCUAGUUUGAGCUAGUUUGAGCUGAACUAGCUCCCAAAGUAUCCAAACACAUGGGCUAGUUUGGGUUAGAUGCAAACUAACCCAUCAAAAAAACUAGCCCUGAGAAGAGGUGCUAAUUGGAGCUAGUUGGGGAUGGACAGCUAAAAAAAUAAUAUUUUGACCGCAUCAGAUCCUUUCCUCGCCCCGCCCGCCGCGCNNNNNNNNNNNNNNNNNNNNNNNNNNNNNNNNNNNNNNNNNNNNNNNNNNNNNNNNNNNNNNNNNNNNNNNNNNNNNNNNNNNNNNNNNNNNNNNNNNNNNNNNNNNNNNNNNNNNNNNNNNNNNNNNNNNNNNNNNNNNNNNNNNNNNNNNNNNNNNNNNNNNNNNNNNNNNNNNNNNNNNNNNNNNNNNNNNNNNNNNNNNNNNNNNNNNNNNNNNNNNNNNNNNNNNNNNNNNNNNNNNNNNNNNNNNNNNNNNNNNNNNNNNNNNNNNNNNNNNNNNNNNNNNNNNNNNNNNNNNNNNNNNNNNNNNNNNNNNNNNNNNNNNNNNNNNNNNNNNNNNNNNNNNNNNNNNNNNNNNNNUCGCCCCCGCUCGGCCUGCUCGCCACCGCCGGCCGCGCUCGCCCUGCUCGCCCCGCCGGCCGCACCAGGCCUACACAAAAGCUGGGCACAACAAAUCCUGGUUAAAAGAUACACAUGAUUGAAAAAAAUGCAUUUAUUGUCAUACUAACCUUUGCAUCCAAACACCACCAAAGGCUAGAGUUAGUUCAUGGUUAGACUAAAGUUAUAAACUAACUCUAACCUAUAGCCAAGUUAGAGUAUCCAAACAGGGCCAUUAACCAACUGUGCAGUGCAGCGCAGUGCGGGGCGCCUGCGACGGCCUUGCCCUGCGUCGCCACCGUUGAGCAGUCCCGCGCCGCGUCGGAAAAGACAUGGAUGAAUUAAAAGGUCCGCUUUAGUCUGGUUUUAAGGGCCGGCCCCGGCAUCUCGGACGCGCCCAUGCCGCCCGGCCUUCUUCUGUCGCCACGUCGGGUCACGCAUUAGAUCAGGGUGGCUGACUUCGAACCCACCUGCCGUAAAUUCGAAAAAAUACACUCUAGUCAAGUACUACCCCCUAGGUACCACUGUAGUCUGUAGCUAAACUAGCAGCACGGCCUCGGUUUUCGUCACCCGUUGUACUGGUACCUCUCCUCCAGGGUCAACAUCAUCUUCAUCCUCGCAGCAACUGCGCCGUGGAGUGCUAGUACAGUAUACAUCAUCGCAACCGGUUGCAGGAUUAGGUGGGUGACAUGCACGCGAGACAUGUGUGAGAUGGCCACAUCAGGCAGCUGCAUGUACUUUAAUUACUCACGGUGCGUGCAUGCAUGGCGUUUCUUACUCACGGCGCCAAACCACUAUUUCACGUUCUGUCUAUAGAGUUUGCAACUUUGCAUAUGUACGUUAGAUGAAUUGCAAAUUACAAAGGCACGCAAGGACCCGAUUUUGGUGCUAAUUAAAGUGCACCCAUACGCCCGCGUAGUGGGUUAUCUACUUCCCAAAACAUUUAAGAAGCAAAUUUAAGCAAUGAUUAGUGAGCAGAUAAAAAGGGUCAGAUCGAUCGGCACGGAGGGCUCCAUCAAAUAUCAUAAGCUAGAUAGCUAGCUAGAAGUCCUCUUCUCAUCUGCCUAAUCCUAAUCACAAAAGUAGAACUUUAAGCGUGUGCGCGCGCGCGCGCGCGCGUGUGUGUUUGUCCUGCUUCCUAAUGAAUUGCAUUGGUUUCAAGUGGUUAUACGAUAAUCCAGGCUCACUAGCUUUAGCUACCAAGUGCCCGCACGAGCCCAAUAAUGAUGAUUAGCACAUGACAUUAACUGGUCUCCAACUGAUAAUGAUCCGUACGUGCUGCUAGUUCCGGCAGUCGUCCAGUCAUGGGCCAUGGCUGCCGCAUGAAUCGAUCAUGUUCUUGGAGCUGUCGGGCACAGCUGCACAGUACAUUCUUUCAUACACGGGUGGCCAGCUAUAGCCACCUCUAGACGACCUGGCCACCUCCUGCACGCAUGCAUGCAUACAUCACUGUAGCUUGUUUUGCAUGGCCUCGCGGAAUAGUUUAACCGAGUCUACAGGUGCAUGCAUGCAAGGAUGAGUAAGAAACGCCAUGCAUAAUGGCGUUUGGCCCAUGUGUAGAAACGCGAGCGAGGGUGGCGUUUCUAGAUGAUCUGCAACGCAAGCUAGACUGGCGUCUGAAUGUGGACCGGAAACGCCACGGUAGACAGGCGUUUCUAUGUACACCAGCAACGCCACGGGUUCUGGCGUUUCUAAAAGGGUCAGAUCGUGAAAUAGUUUCAGACCGAGUUCAUUUUAUGCAUUACUUUCGUCUUCCGGGUCAAAACAGUGAAAAAAAAUCCUCAAUGGAGAAUGGGUGCUUGUUGUCGGAACCUGCGUUUUGGGUACCGCCCGAGAAAAACGGUUACCGGGCGGUAACCGCGUUUCUCGCCGCCCCACGACAAAGUUGUAUCCCGACUCAAAAAAUUUGAACUUUUUGAAUAUUUUGAAUUUAAACGCUCGGGCUGUAGUCAAAUAAAGCGGCGUCUCAAUAAUGUUAUGUCUGCCGCUGUGGCGUGGUGGUAACCAUCUACCACCGAUCUCAAGAGGUUCGAGGUUCGACCACUAUGACAGUAACUUCGUGAUCUUACAUCAAUUAGAGAGCAUGUACAGGACAUACCACUGAGCUACUAAUACUUUUCUUAUCUAUUCAUGUUCAAGUCUUUUGUAUUUCUAGUUUCAAAAUUUAAAUUCAAAAUUCCAUUAUAAAUUCGUACGAAAUUUAUUCGGUAUUUCUCGGUAACCGUGGUAACCGAGAAUCUCGCCCCCCACGAGAAAAUUUGGUCAUUCGGAAUCCAAAAUAUUGGUCGGAACUCGAGCACAUAUGUGCUCGUUAUCUGAGCGAUCGAGUACAGCGUCAGGAUGUGAUGAAAUUCAAUUCCAGGUCCACAUACAGGUUCAGUUUUACUAGCAGAAAUGCCGAUGUAUGUGGUACGAACCCUAAAACGCCUCGAUGAACAGAAAGGUAUGGCAGUACACAUACUUGCAAAGUUGCAAUUCAUGCUAGUGCUCUUAGAAGAAAGGGACAGUGUUUACUUGUAGAAAAUGACAAGAAUCAGAACAGUGACUUGUUGAGUCAGACAAUGAUGUAAUUUUAGGCAGUGUGGUUAGUUAUGCGCUCAUUAGUUUGAGAGUCAGUACCCCCCCCCCCCCCCCCCCCCCCCCCCGUCCCCCCCCUCCCACCCCCCCCCCCNNNNNNNNNNNNNNNNNCCCCAUCGCCCUCCCUGGUCUCCCCCUUCCAGCCAGCCACCCCCUCAUCUCGCCACCUGCGCAUGCGUGUGUGCGGCGGCGGUGAGGUGGAGUGCGGUGGCGCAGGUUGUUGGGGAGGGGGUGGUGGACGACUGACUUGAGCUGGCGGGGCGUGGCUUGCUUGAAGGGGAUGCAUCCUCUCUCGGGUGGUCGGCGGUUGGUUUCAUCCACGCCCAGAUCUAGCGUCCCGGAGUGGGGCGUUCGGCCGUCGGCUCCUCGUGAAGUGGCUUAGGGGUCAAUAGUGGGUUGGUGGCUGAGGUUGCAGGCCGACAAGGAGAGGGUGGUCGGCGAUGGCGGUGGCCUCUGCUCUGGCUGUCUCCUGCGGAGGGCACAUAUUUGUGAGGUUGCCCUUCUCGUGGCAGCGACGUGGAGACCAGGGGACGGCGUGUAUGGAGGUCAGCGUUAGUGUCGGUGCAGCGGCCUGGUUCGAUCCAUCCUCCAUUGGCGUCGGUGCUCGAGGUGAGCAACGACGUUUGCAGGGGGCUCCUUUUGGACAUGGUGAGGACGCUUCUGUGGUCUGGCAGGGGGCAGUGAGCUCUCAUGCUCAUGUGCUUGCCGGACUCGGCGGCGUGUGUGCGGCGGUGAGGCCCGAGAUUUGAGGCUUCGGGCGAAUGCCUACCGUCGACUUGGUCGCCAGUGAUGAUGGCGAUGCCCUCGGGUGUCGCUUCAACAAGUCAUUAUGAAGCUUCAUACCCCGUUCCUGAUGUGCUCCGGGCGAAAGCCAAAAUCCUUCCUUGGAUUGGACUAUGACGAUAUCUUCGAUGUCGUUUUCCCCCUUGGGGGCGUAGUCUUGGAGACAUGUAUCCGUCGUGGGUUGUUUGGUGUCUCGGUUGGAGCAUGGUAGGUUUGUUGGUCUGUUUGGUGGCGAUGGUGGAAGUGAUACGUGGCGGUGGCCUUUGCCUUGGUCAUCCUGGUGCUACCUGUCGACCUCUCUCUUGGGGGCUUGUGGCGGCGGGGAUGACUCGGACUUCGGUGCCCUUCGAUGACUCUUGAGAUUUUGUUGCCUUGCAUAGUGCUCUCAUUCCCUCUAUUUGUGAUGGUGGCCGUGGUGUGGCUCAGAGGAGGUGCAGGGCUGUCUCGACGGAACAUUGCCCUUCAACACAGUCUGCAACUCUCUUUGGUGGCGUCGUGGCUCGGCAUUAGAAAACUCUUCGAUGGUGGUUGCGACUCUCCUAGUUCUUCAAGGUGCUGAGUGAUCGCAGGGCAUCACGCAACUUCUUCUCAACGUCUUCUUAGUGUCGGAUCUCCUUUCGUCGGACCCAUCAAUGAUAGUUUCCUCUCUUUUCGGUCUACCUCUCAUGAUGGGUGCUAAGUUCUUGGUGUGGGUUGUUUGUCCUAGCUUGCUUCAGGUUCUCUUUCUGGUGUUCUCUUUAAUGUAUGGGAUGCUACUUGUUGUUUCCGUUGUGUUUGUAUCUUCCGNNNNNNNNNNNNNNNNNNNNNNNNNNNNNNNNNNNNNNNNNNNNNNNNCUUCCGAUCUCGGUUUUGAAAAUGAAAAUUGUUCAGGCCGGCUUUUGCCCACCGUAGCAGCGUAAAAAAAAGUCAGUUCCUGGUACCAAAUCCGUGUGGAGUUUGCACUCAAGAUGCAGAGUGAAAGUGUACUACACUUUGAAUUACACUACAUUGGGCAUGUCGAGAGAAAAUGCAUCUCCAACAUACAUUUGAUUCCUGACGGUACUUUGUGCAUUGGAAAGUUGUCUUUUCAGCAAAAAUUCGUAUGGUAAAAAUUUCUUGCUUUGAGAUUAAUUGUUCAAAGCAAGAUACUUUUACCAAGAGCACUCCCGAGAAAGAAUUCAAUAUCUUCUCUUAUGUAUGAGAUGAUCUCUUGGCUUAGUGUUUAAGAGAAUGUUUUUCUUUUGCAAAAGAGAUAUUUUCCCACCAUUGUACCUGCCAUAUAUUAACCAUAUUGUUCCAACCUAGUUAUAGAGUCACACGACCAUUAAUUUCUAGAAAUGAAAUCUUUUAAUUAGUCCUUUCUGCAAUUUUUACAAGAGUAUUGUUAUGUAGAAAUAAAAUCUUUCAAUUAGUCCUUUCUGCAUUUUUUACAAGAGUAUUGGUUGCUUUGUACCUGUGAUAAAUCUUUAGCAAAACCGAGAUUUUUGUAAUGGGCACAUAAUACAUUGAUCCGACGGGGCAUAACUUUUUGGCGGUAGCUUGCUCCUCAGCUCUUAGAUGUGUUUGACCACUUGCAUUGCUUUUCCUUACUUUGCGUGUGUGGCUCAUAUGAGCCUGAUUGAGGUAAUGCAUGCAAAAAACUAUUUUGCUCAUUAUUUGAUUACCUGCAUAUUGCUUGUGCAUGGGUGUUCUGUUCUAGUAAUUUUGGACACUACAUGGUGAGUUUACCAUCUACCACCCUAGCAAGUAUUCACUUCAUUACAUACGAUCAAAACGAUCACUUGAGUAAAACAACACUAGAAUCACGACAAACUGGAUGUAGAUGACGAAGUUCUUCACCCCACAUAGCCUAAUGUCUUGUCUUACACUCCCUUGAAGACAACAACCUUGGGAACUUGUUCAUCAUUGUUAAUCCGUUCUUCAAGCACGUAUCAUUGAUAGCCAUCCUCUAACCGGCCGCUGUCUCCUCUUAAACCCUCCUAGACAGGAGCUGCCUAGGUAACCCUUGACCCGCAUAUUGACAAGAGAGCCGAAAUUGAAGCAGGAAAGCAAAUGAACACAACCAUGUGGAAGAGAAACAACAUAGGCAUGCAUGAUCACAUAAGGCCGCACAAGUUCGUCAUAAGUGUUGGAAAUUUGCCCUAGAGGCAAUAAUAAAUUGGUUAUUAUUAUAUUUCCUUUUUCAUAAUAAUUGUUUAUUAUCCAUGCUAGAAUUGUAUUGAUUGGAAACUCAAAUACAUGUGUGGAUACAUAGACACCACACUGUCCCUAGUGAGCCUCUAGUUGACUAGCUCGUUGAUCAAAGAUGGUCAAGGUUUCCUAGCCAUAGACAAGUGUUGUCACUUGCUAACGGGAUCACAUCAUUAGGAGAAUGAUGUGAUGGACAACACCCAAACUAUAAACGUAGCAUAUGAUCGUGUCAGUUUAUUGCUACUGUUUUUCUGCAUGUCAAUGUAUCUGUUCCUAUGACCAUCAAAUCAUUCAACUCCUGGACACCGGAGGAAUACGUUGUGUGUAUCAAAUGUCGCAACGUUACUGGGUGACUAUAAGGGUGCUCUACAGGUAUCUCCAAAGGUGUCUGUUGGGUUGGCAUGGAUCAAGACUGGGAUUUGUCACUCCGUGUGACGGAGAGGUAUCUCGGGGCCCACUCGGUAAUACAACAUCACAACAAGCCUUGCAAGCAAUGUGACUAAGGAGUUAGUUACGGGAUCUUGUAUUACGAAACGAGUAAAGAGACUUGCCGGUAACGAGAUUGAACUAGGUAUGGAGAUACCGACGAUCGAAUCUCAGGCAAGUAACAUACCGAAGGACAAAGGGAACAACAUACGGGAUUAACUGAAUCCUUGACAUAGAGGUUCAACCGAUAGAGAUCUUCAUAGAAUAUGUAGGAGCCAAUAUGGACAUCCAGGUCCUGCUAUUGGUUAUUGACCGGAGAAUGUCUCAGGUCAUGUCUGCAUAGUUCUCGAACCCGCAGGGUGUGCACACUUAAGGUUCGGCAACAUUUCAGUAUAGUUGAGUUAUAAGUGUUGGUAACCGAAAGUUGCUCGGAGUCCCGGAUGAGAUCUCGGAUGUCACAAGGACCUCCGGAAUGAUCUGUAGGUAAAGAUUGAUAUAUAGGAAGUCCUGUUUUCGUCACCGGAUAAGUUUCGGGCUCAUCGGUAGUGUACCGGGAAUGCCGGGAGGGUACCGGGGACCAUCAGGAGGGGUGUCACGCCCCGAGGGGCCUUAUGGGUUGUCUCCUUCCCCAACUAGCUAGAUAGAUCUAGCCAUUUAAUGAAGUGACAUAUCUACCUCCCUAACUAGAUAUAGCCCACCAUGUCAAGAUCACUCGCUAGCUAGAGGUGUUUGGAGACACGCAGAUCGACCUCAUCACUGUGCUCGAUCUGAGGUACAUGAGUGAAAGUUUGUGCUUUGCAAGAAUGGAAAUAUAUAUUUGUGUGUGUGCGAUAUAUUAACCUAAUUGGGUGAUAAGAUGGAAAUAUGCGUGUGGCACGAGUUAUCGUCGAAUUUUGCUUGAGUUGCCUAUGUUUUGUAGAAAUGUAGAUUUAUUUCCAUUUCGGCGAAUUUUAGGCAAACUCUAUAUGUCCUAUGUUUAGGGAAGGUCAUACUGAAUUUUUGUAUGACUUCGAUGCAUGCAUGCAUUUUAUAAUCAAAUUGUUUAUUAUUACUACACACGCAAUCAUGAUGGUCAGUGGAACGAUGGUGAAAAGGUGGUUGCGAUCGGCGGUACAGGACAUGAAUGAAAAUAACUAGACAAAGAUCUUAUGUCCGUGUCGAAAUUACAAAGGAGGAGUUUGGCUCAACCCUUAUGAGCAUGGUCGUUUGAAGGCGCACCUUCUUAUGAUUGGUUUCAUGGAUGACUAUACUCGAUGGGUAAUUGAAGAUCAUGAUGAUGAGGACGCCAACGGGAAAACCAAUGACGACAUUUGCGAGAUAAAGAGAUGACCGACAAUGGCGGCGGAGAAGGGACCACACAUGGUGGCAGAGAAGAUCUAGAGCCAGACAUGACGGUGGAGAAUAGGUUGGACAUGGCGGCGGAGAAGACAUGGACACGCCACAACCUUCAUCGCUACUAAGUUCAAUCGUGCAGGACCCUCAUGUUCGAGACCUCCUUCGCAAGGAGAUGAGUACCGAUAGAGCUGCUUACAAAGAGGAGGCCAAGCUGGAGCAAGUGGAGAUAGACUCGAACACUCCAUUGUAUGUUGGCUGCGAUCCCGAGGUGACCCGCUUGAGUUUCACGCUCGAACUACUCAAGACGAAGGCUAAAAACAAAUGGACCGACAUAAGCCUCGAUGAGCUUAUCAAGUACCUAAGGAAGGUUCUUCCCACGGGGAAUCUAUGUCCUACUAGUGUGGAUGAGGCCAAUAAGAUCGUGUGCCCUCUUGAUCUGCCGCACAUUAGAUACCAUGCAUGCAUCAAUGAUUGCGUCAUCUAUCGGAAGGAGCACACGAAAAAAAUGAGUUGCCCGGUGUGCAAUGCUUCUCGAUACAAGAAGGUCAGAAAGAAAAUUCCCUAUAAAGUUGUAUGUCACUUACCGAUCACUCCCCGUCUGCAACGUUAUUUUGUAGAUCCUAAGGAAGCAAGGCUCAUGCGUUAGCACGCAUAGAGGAAAAAGCCCGACGAUGGAGAUGAUUCCUGAGACACCUCGCAGAUGCAAGCUAGUGGAGAGCAUUCAAUGCCGAAUAUCGAUAUUUUGCAGGUGAUGCAAGGAACAUCGUGCUAGGCAUGAGUACCGAUGGCAUGAAUCUGUUUGGCAACCAGAGCACGAGCCAUAACACAUGGCUCGUGUUUGUAUGGAUGUAUAACCACCCUCCUGGUUAUGCAUGAAGUCAAAGUACAUACACAUGAGCAUGCUCAUUCAAGGGCCGUAAAAACCGUAAAUAAUAUUAAUCUGUAUUUGGGGCUACUUCAAGAGGAGUUAGACACGUUAUGGAAAAUACCAUCCAAGACAUGGGAUGCGAGCAAAGGCCACUAUUUUUAUAUGAGAGUCGCGCUGAUGAUGAUAGUGCACAACUAUCUCGGUUACGGAUAUCUCGCAUGCCAAGUAUUCCACGGAUAUCUCGCAUGCCAGGUAUUCCACGGAUAUUGCGGAUGCACGCAAUGCAUGGAUGAUACAACGUCUCAUCAGCUAACGUCAAUGAAAGAUGGCGGGUCUGGGAAAAUCGUGUACAUGAGGCAUCAAAGAUGUCUCAUGAAGAACGACGCAUUGAGAUCUAUUCAAUGGUGAGGCUGAACAUCGAGGACCUCCAUGUAAGCGGAGCGGCGCGGAAAUCGAUGAGCUAUUGAAGAACUGGAAAUGGUGCCCCACGCCGGGAAAGACGAUGAAAAAGGCGUCAGAGCCACUACUGAAGGUAUGGAAAACGAGGUCGGUUUUCUGGGACUUGGAAUACUGGCCCAAACUCAACAUGCCUCAUUGCCUUGAUCAAAUGCAUAUCACGAAGAAUGUCCUUGAGAGCUUGCUUGCGACAUGGAUGAACAUGCUAGAUAAGACCAAGGAUGGACCGAAGGCAAGAAGAGACAUGGAAGAUUUAAAAAUCAGGGCAGAUCACCACAUGUCGCCCCGUAAAAAUUCACAAGAGACGGAGACAAAGACGGAGGCACGAGACAAGGGCCAAAAGUGAACAAGAAGGAAGAGAAUUAUUGCUCCCCUUCUUGCUUUACCUUAAGUCCGAAGGAGAUCGAACAAUUCUUCAAGUGCCUUACCAGAAUCAAAGUUAGUUCCGGUUACUCUGGGAAGAUAAGCACAUUUCUAGACACAAAGAAGAAAAGAUUCAGCGGGAUGAAGUCUCAUGAUUGUCAUGCGAUGAUGACACAAAUACUACCUGUUGCCCUAAGAGGGUCAAUGGACAAGCACGUCCGUGACACGCUUAUUGGUCUCUGCAACUUUUUCGAUGUUAUCUCUCGAAAGUUGAUCAGUGUGAAGCAACUCCAAAGGCUACAUGAAGAGAUCGUUGUGAUACUAAAUGAGCUUGAGAUGUACUUCCUGCCCGUGUUCUUUGACGUCAUGGUGCAUCUGUGUGUCCACAUUGUGGAUGACAUAAUAGACCUGGGACCGACAUUACUGCACAGCAUGAUGCCGUUCAAGAGGAUGAAUGUGGUCAUCAAAGGAUUCUUUCAUAAAAUGUCCCAUACGGAUGGAAGCAUCAUCUAGGGAUAUCUGACCCAAGAGUGCAUCUCUUUGUGCGAGAAUUAUCUAUAUUGCAGAGACCCUGUUGUUGGUUUGCCCAUUAAUAAGCACCUUGGAAGGCUCGAAGGAGAAGGUCACUCCAACGGUCACAAGGCACUACAUGUGGGUUACUCGGAUUGAUGCAACGACUUUGACAUAACAAACUUAGUAGUGCUAUAUCACCUAGACAUGCUAGAUCCUUUCGUGACACUGUACAAAGAAACCAUCGCAAAGAAGUAUCAUGACCGGGGACUAUGCAUGACGAACACUGAAAUUAUUAGAGAGCACAACUCCACUUUCCUGCCUUGGCUCAAAGAGCAUGUUCUUGCUAAUCGCCCGAAAGAGGACUCUACGGACGGAUUGCUCAUAUAGGCGUUAGCACAUGGCCCCGCGGCCAACCGCGGUAUUAAAUCUUUGGUCAUGCAGUGUAAAUCCGUUGAUAGGUCGUGAGGUUAUGGCAACGGAUUUACAUUGCAUACGAUAUCAAUGGAUACACGUUCUACACAGUGGCCAAAGAUAUAAACAAUGAUUUUCAGAACUCAGGGGUGACGAUGGAAUGCAUGAUCAGCGACAACGCUGCAACUGAAAGAUUCUACGGAAAGGUCGAGGAGAUAUGGGAGCUUGACUAGUCUAGACUACACAGUGCAACGAUGUUCCGUGCUAGGUGGGCUAAGAAUUAAUGUCGAACGAGAAAACCGGUAUUUCACUACCAUGUCUAUACCACAUGCAUGGAGUUCUACCAAUAAGUUUGAAGCAUUAAACUACUAUCCUAACAUCCAAGUUUAGAGCAGAUUUAAUACCACAUGCUCCGAUUUACACUCCAUGACCAUAUCCACAAUAGUAUCAUCGUACACAAACUGAAAAACUACAUGAAAUCGGACUACCAAACCCUAAUGUUCUAGGAAUCCAUCACCAAUAUCUACCACAACAUCACAUGCUCAUAGGUCGACGCUCUAAAAUGCUACCAGUGUUCAUAGUUCUAUCCCUGGGACAUGCUCACAAAUCAAAUCUCCAUCGAUUAGGGGGGAGGGGGUGGGCGGGUGAUAGAACUUACAACCAUCGGGGAGAAAGGAGUUGAAACGGAAGUCGUCAGAGAAGAGCAUGAUCAUGGAGCGCCACCAUGGUCCAGUGUUGAGCACAGAAAAUACGCCGCUUACGUGCUGGUUGCCGACAAAAUCGACCGGUAUGGAUAGCAUGCCAGUUGGUGGGGGUGGGGGUGGGAUGGUGGCGAUGACCCGAUGGGGGCUAAAUAGAGCAUCCCAUUUGGCGGGAGGUGACCCAAUUCCAACAGCCAUUUUUUUCUCGCACGCACGAGAUCAUGCCAUCCCUUCCUUGCAUCUGCUCAACACGGUGCUCCUUUCGUUUACACGACACAAGCGUGGAUGGGAAAAAACAACCAAUUUGGGUGUUCCCGCUGGGCCUGGCAGCAAGGUUCUUUAAGAAGCAGCUUGCGAUGUGGGCGAAACAGUGAAAACGGUAAACCCAACGGGCCAAAUUUGUCACUACAAGAAAUAUGUCAACUAACGACCUUCAAUAUUGGUCACUGAAUGGUCAUUGAUUUCCAUUUGUGACCUUUUUAUGACCAAAAACAGAAGGUCUAAAGCUGAGGGUCUUUAAUGAACUAUAACGACCUUUUUUCUGGAUUGGUCGUAGGAUUUUAUGACCAAACAGAAGGUCGUAGGUUUAACGACCAAAUGAUUUGGUCACUAGCAAUUUGCCGGCACCACAUCAGAUCCACCGUGGCAGGCUGACGUGGCAGAAUUAUGACCAAAUGAAAAGGUCGUAAAUAAGAUUCAGCCCUGUCCAUUCCGGUCGUCUACAUGGGUCGGGCCCAAUAAUUUGGCCUUUUAUUUUCCGGGAUAGAAUCUUUUACCGAGCAGGUUUUUUAUUAGUCCACUUUUCUUUUGGCCUUGGCCUACUCUUUUUAGUCCAGUUCUUGUUUGGGCCUUGGCCUACUCUUUUUUUAGGCCCAAGCCUUUUUAGACAAAUUCUAAUUUGGGCACUCUUUUUUUAGGCCCAAGCCUUCUUAGUCUAUUUCUUGUUUGGGCCUCGGCCUUUUUGCUGUCCAAACUAACUUUAGUGCCCAAAAAAAUGGUCCAAACAAAACUUAAAUAAUUGACAACUUCACAGGUGCACAGCUUCACAAAAUACUUCAUCAGGUUCACAGGUUCAAAUAGAGCAAGACAUUGUUUCAUCACCAGAAUGACCAAUCAAGUGGGCUAACUUCAUCAGGUUCUUUAGAAGUUAGCCCACUUCACUGUUUCUAGGACAUGUUCUACGACAGGUUCAACUUCUCUUCCUGUUCCUGAGACUUCUUCGUCCAUCGGCGAAAACUCAUCACACAUUUCCACCGAGCUCUCAAAGUCCAUGCCUAGCAGACUUUCCUGAUGGUCCAUCACGGCCGCCAUAGUUGCUUUCUGCCUUGUGACUCUAUCAGGUUCAUCAGGUUUGAGGAUCCUCUUUGUUUGUCCUAGAGAUGGGGCCAUCACCCUUCCUGGAGGCAUUGCAGCAGAUGCUUCUGAGCUCUUCCUCUUCUUGCUGGCUGUCUUCUUAACACCAGGCCUCUUCGUUCUAGAUUCCUUCAGUGCCUUGUAUAAAUAUCACAGAAAAAAUUAGAUCACAAGAUAAAUAUGUGAGCACAAGGAAACACAGAGCAUACAAGAACCCGAACCCUCCAAGCAAGACAGAGUUUGCACCUUAACAGUCUUGUGCACUACAACUUCAUCCUCCUUAGGAUUGUACUCAGGGUCAUCACUGAUAACUCCACUACCUUCUUGAACCCCAUUAGUUGUACCUUCUUGUACAUCAUUUGUUUUCCUAAUCAUUGACGCUAUUGCAUCAAUGCCAAGGGACUGGAAUAUCCGAUUGUUCCUCAUCAUAUUUCUAGCCCUAACCUUCUCGUACUCGGUGAGAGGAUGCUCAUCUUUGCAAGGCAAAGUAAACAUAAUUAUUAGGUUAAUUGUUGGAAUGCAUGGACAAACAACCAAACAUAUCUUAUGAUAUUUUAUUAUCAUUUAAUCCUACUUAUUCAGCUAAGGAAGAGUAAUGGCACACAUGCACAACUAAGCCAGCUAAUUCAGAUUACAGCAAUACAUUUGCAUAAUAAAAUCUGACAGUAUUUUACAUCACGAGCCUCCAAGAUAUUUUACUUAGCAUAUUACAUUUCACUUAGCAUAUUAAGACACUUUUUAUAAAUCUGACAGUAUAACCACAAGGAGCAACUUGCAUACCACUGGUUGGCCUCGGGUUUGACCUUGUCAUCCUUGACAUGGAUGAUCUUGAGGUGGUGCUUGCAAAAUAGAAUAAACAACAAUCAGAUACAACAGGGAUAAAGUAAAAUGAUGCACUUAUAUCAAUAAAGGAAAGCAUUUAGACGAGCAUGCACAUACAUGUAAUACAUGCGAAGCAAACUUGUUGGAUCAACAAUAUAGUGAUGCAGUUAAUGCAUCAGUACUAAUACAUGUAAAACACUUGGACCAGCAUGCACAUACACGUGUAGCAAUGCACAUACAGUUAAUGCAUCAGUACUAAACUGACAGUUGAAGCAAGCAACUAAAUUGAAGCACUUGGACUACCAUGCACAUACAAGUGUAGCAAUGCAUCAGUAUUAAAACAUGUGAAACAGGAGGUAGUAAUGUACUAAACUGAUAGUUGAAGAAAACUAUAUAUGUGAAGCAAUGCAUUAACCAUUUACAACAAUUACUUUUAUGUUUUAACUUGCAAUUUUAUCCAUGUACGUGCAAUCAUCUAUAAGCAAAGUAAUUACUCAACUGUAUCCCUAAUGGAGGCAAACAUAUGCAUUCAUAGCAACUGGUUGCCCAACAUUUGGGGAAUAAAGAAGCAAGGAGUGUGCAAGCAAGCAAGCAAAGUGCAUAAGUGCUACUAAUACAAGCAAGCAAGCAAAAGAAGUGCUACUGAUAGAAACAAGCAUAGUGCUACUGAUAGAAACAAGCAAGCAAGGAAGAAAAUUGAAGAGGAACAAGCAAGCAAGUACAGUUGAUACCAACCCUAGUAGCUUCUUCUCCAAGUGCUACUGAUACAAGCAAGUAUUGCUGAUGGAAACUCUAAUUAACCAUGUAUGCUAGCAAGCAAGCAAGCCAUAGUAGUCAAGCAACGUGAACAUGAACCCUAACCCCAUGAAGCAGACUAACAGAGGGGGAUAGAACGAACCACUAGGAAUAAAUCCCAUGAACAUGAACAAGAACCUCCAGGAGCUCCUAGAUUGACUGAAUCCUAACCCUAGAUCGACCAGGUGGGGGAUGUACCCCCAUUUGUUACCCAUCACAAAUGCAGGACCCCAUGAUCCAGCCCCAUUGAUCCAACCCCAUGACAACUACAACCCUAACCCCAUGAAUCUACAGAACCACGUCAGCAGACAUAUUUACCCCAUGAACCCUAACCCUAACCCCAUGAAUGUACCGAACCAUCCUCAUUGAUCCAGCCCCAUGAACCCUAGAAUACCACAUGAGGGGGAUCUAUCAAACCCUAGAAGAUCUACUAGAAGAACACAUGAGGGGAUCUAUCAACGGGAGAUGGGUCGAGGGGAGAGGUACCUAUCGUCGUCGACUGUUGAUUAUGUAGACGUACCCGCUGUCGUCGUCGAUGUAGUCAUAGCCGUCGACGUCGAUGUAGAUGUAGCCGUCGUCGUCGAUGUAGAUGUAGCCGUCGACGUCGUCGAUGUAGUCGUCGUCGGGGAGAGGGGCGGAGGGGCGGCGCGGAGCACGGGAGGGGCGGCGGAGCGGCGCGGAGCAGGGGAGGGGCGGCGGAGUGGGGAGUGAAAUGGAUCCCGCGUGGGUAGUGGGGAGUGGAAUGGAGAGGGGAGUGGGAGAGGGAGUGGUGGGUCCCGCGUGGUAGUGGGAGAGGGAGUGGAGGGAAAUUUUGGUGGGGUGAGAGGGAAAAUUUGGUGGGGUGGGAGGGAAAAUUUUCAUUAGUUUUUUGGGGUUUGGAGGCACACUUUUUCUUUUUCUUUUUUAAAAACAUUGUAGAAAUAAUGGUUAAAGUCAUACCGAAUAGUUCAAGAAGACAUCAGUACUCUAAUUUAUAUAUCAAUUCUAGUUGGUAGGUCACAUGUGAUGAUGCGACACGAAGGUUUCCCAUUUUUUUGAUUUUUUUGAAUUUUUCAUGGCCAUUUCAAACUGCGGUCGAAACGGUGGGCAUGACCGUUCCUACCUAUUGGUUGAAUCUUGGAAACCUUUUGGAGUUUCUAUGAUUAAAUAGAUACUUGUGUACUGUGACGCCCUCGAUUUAAUCGUACGCUAAACAUACAUGCAAAUGCGUACGACCAAACCCAAGGACUCACGGGAAGAUAUCACAACACAACUCUAGACGCAAAUAAAAUAACAUCAGCUUCAUAUUACAAGCCAGGGGCCUCAAGGGCUAGAAUACGAAAGCUCGAUAAACACACGAGUCAGCGGAAGCAAAAGAUAUCUGAGUACAGACAUAAAACAACAUGGGGUGCCUUAGAGAAGGCUAGCACAAAAGAUACAACGAUCGAACGAGGCGAGGCCUCCUGCCUGGGAACCUCCUAACUACUCCUGAUCAUCAGCGACCUCCACGUAGUAGUAGGCACCGUCGGGGUAGCAGUCGUCGGUGGCGGGGACCUCCAUCUCCUGGGCUCCAUCAUCUGGUCGCAGCAAACGGAUCAAGGGGACAAGGGGGGAGGAAAGCAGCGGUGAGUACUCAUCCAAAGUACUCGCAAGUCUUACAUCAGAACUAUUCUAAUUAUGCAUCAGUAUCAAAGAAGGGCGGGUGUAUAUGUGGACUGACUGCAGCAAUGCGAGAAUAGAGAGAGAAGGCCUAGUCCUAUCGAAGACUAGCAUCUUCAGGGUCUUGCAGCAAUAGACGAGAGUAGAACAGGGGGGUAACAUUAAUAGUCAUAUUGUUGCAGCAAUAUUAAAGUGAGGUCACGCCUAAAGAUCCUCCCUCGACUCCCUGCGAGGAAGCAAUCCCGAGGCAAACUAAUUCCAGUUAAGUAACAAUUGUAGUUGUAAAAGAUCGGGGCACAACUCCAAGUCGUCCUGUAACCGUGGACACGGCUAUCCGAAUAGUUAAUUUUCAUCCCUGCAGGGGUGCACCACAUGUCCCGUCACACUCGUUAACACUCUGGCCGGACAUACUUUUCUGGGUCCUGCCCGGCCUCAGAAUAUCGACACGUCGCAGCCCCACCUAAGACUAAUAAGAGAGGCCAGCCCGUCGGUCUAAAUCCUAAGCACAAAGGGUUCGUGGGCCCAGUUCCCCUUCAUGCUCCUGCACGUGGUGUGGGCGGCCGACGUCAGUCCUAGCAUCCCUUAAUCACAAGCGCGAUGCAUCUCGGGACCACUCGGGCGCGCGCCGCUACAUUGCUCGCAUCUGAAAAGCUUCGGCUGAUACCGCGACGCCGAGUACCCAUAAUUCUUCCCGCGUAGCCGGUUAGUGCGAAAAGGUCUCCGACCAACCCAGAUCAAAUAACCAAAUCCAUUAACAUUUUAAUUAGGCCAACAACACAGUUUCACGGGAAUCCACCCGUCUUACAACUAAUCACCAAUGAUCCCAGUAACAUGGUCGAGUAACUGUGUGGUUGUAACAUCGGGGGGAAUCCGAGGUAUCACCCUCGUUGGAUUCCGAACGAUGUACCCGUCAAGGUGGGCUUAGAGGAAUCACCCUCGGGGGUCCCACACUUGAGGGGUUGCACGACAGAGGCGUCAUCGGGAAUGGCGAAAGAGGAAUCACCCUCGAUAACCACGACCAACUAGCUAUACUACAGAGAUAUCAUCAGGAGUACUUAGCGAGGUGUCACCCUCGGUACCCGAUAGUAUCUCUGUAGCGUCGUACAACGAAGGGGGGUGAAUGUGCUGUGUCGGGUCUGGCUCGUCGAUCAGAGAUCGAGAUUUGAAAACAAGCGGGGCAACUGAACUAGGGGUCAGAGGGGAUGACUGCUCCACCUAUACUAAGUAGAUUAAAGGUACAGGACUGAAAGUAGCAGUUCAUCAAAAACAGGCUAUGCAUCAGAUAUAGGAGCUAACUACAACAGUAGCAAAAUACUAAUGCAAGAAGUAGGAAGCAAGACAUAGGCGAUAUAGGAAUGAUCAAGGGGGGGUUUGCUUGCCUUGCUGCUCUGCGGCAAAGGACUAAUCGGCAGGGUUGUAGAUGUACCCGGCAGCAGCGUCAGUCUCGGGGUCUACCGGUAAGAAGAGGGGGAAGAAACAAUAAAUAAUAGCACCGAUGCAACACAAAGCAUGACAUGGCAAGAUGCAGGCUAGACAUGAGCUAACGCAGCAACAUCCGUCAUAGACGGGUCGGAAGAAUAUCUGACGAUAUUUUUCCGGGUCUCGGGCUACUACCGGUUAUACUGAAAACGAUGGAAAAGUUCCAUGUUUGCUAUGCUAGGGACGCGUGACACACGAACGGGCCGUGUAUCCGGGUUCGUCUCGUUUUGCUGAUCAACUUUCAUGUUGAAAAUAUUUUGAUCUGACUUACGGAUUAUUUAAUAUUAAUUUUUAAAGUUUUAUUAAUUAUUUAGGAAUUAAAAACAGAUUUAGCUAUUUUAAUAAAAUCCGUCAUAGACAGCGGGUGCUUUGGCCCCACCGGUAAGUGGCCUAAGGCUAUUUACUCAUUUUAUUAAUCACAAAUACAUAACCAUACAAAUGUUGUAUUCCUCUAAAUAUCCAUAUACGCAAAUACAUACAUCGCAUCUCAUACAUACAUACAUACAUACAUACAUACAUACGCAUCUAAUACAUUUUUUUUUAUUUUCUCUCAAAACUCUCAUCUCCCUCUCUGUCAACAGACAACAGAGAAACAACUCUGUGCUAACUCAACAUAGAAGAACCAAACGUUCAAUCCUUCCUACCGGAGUCUACCGUCGACGGAUCGGGGUCCCGUUUGCCGGAACGGAACCGGGGCGGCGAGGAGAACGACAUGGUGGGAGGAGCCCGAGGAGGGGCUCACCGACGUUGACGGGAGGGGCCGGUGAAGCCAGAGUUCGCGGGAAGGGGCGGAGGAGACGACAUGGAGGCGGACGAGGCGGUGACGGUGACGGUGACGGCGCGGUUCCGGUGGUGAUGCCGGUGAGGACGGUCGCCGAAGAAGUCGUGCCGGCGAGGUCUUGCCGAGAGGGGCCCCGAUGAGGAGGGCCCCCGGGAUGAAGCCGCCGACGGGGAGGGGCUCGGCCGGCGGGGCUCGUGGGGUCGGNNNNNNNNNNNNNNNNNNNNNNNNNNNNNNNNNNNNNNNNNNNNNNNNNNNNNNNNNNNNNNNNNNNNNNNNNNNNNNNNNNNNNNNNNNNNNNNNNNNNNNNNNNNNNNNNNNNNNNNNNNNNNNNNNNNNNNNNNNNNNNNNNNNNNNNNNNNNNNNNNNNNNNNNNNNNNNNNNNNNNNNNNNNNNNNNNNNNNNNNNNNNNNNNNNNNNNNNNNNNNNNNNNNNNNNNNNNNNNNNNNNNNNNNNNNNNNNNNNNNNNNNNNNNNNNNNNNNNNNNNNNNNNNNNNNNNNNNNNNNNNNNNNNNNNNNNNNNNNNNNNNNNNNNNNNNNNNNNNNNNNNNNNNNNNNNNNNNNNNNNNNNNNNNNNNNNNNNNNNNNNNNNNNNNNNNNNNNNNNNNNNNNNNNNNNNNNNNNNNNNNNNNNNNNNNNNNNNNNNNNNNNNNNNNNNNNNNNNNNNNNNNNNNNNNNNNNNNNNNNNNNNNNNNNNNNNNNNNNNNNNNNNNNNNNNNNNNNNNNNNNNNNNNNNNNNNNNNNNNNNNNNNNNNNNNNNNNNNNNNNNNNNNNNNNNNNNNNNNNNNNNNNNNNNNNNNNNNNNNNNNNNNNNNNNNNNNNNNNNNNNNNNNNNNNNNNNNNNNNNNNNNNNNNNNNAUUUUGUUUUCUUUUUUUUCCUUUUUUAUUAUUUCUUCCUUUCCUAUUUAUUUUACUAUCUGAUUUUUCUUUUUAAAUACUUUCUUUUAUUAUACUUUCUUUUACAAUUUAUUAUACAUACUUUUAAUUCUUUCUUUCAUAUACAUAUUCUUUUAAUAUUUGUAAUGAACUUAUAAAGUACUUUUCUUUUGUUUUCAAAUUUUGAAUCCGGAUAGACUUGAAUCAACGCGGGUCUGAGAUGGGAAUUCGAUGACGUGGCAUCGUUAGCGGUUGAUCACUGUAGCUUAAUUACAAUAAUUACUGUUGCAAAAGUCGAGGAUGUCACAUGUACCUACAAAUGAUUUUUGGAAAAAAUAAAGAGCAAACUAUAAGGCAGCCGCAGUUCAAAUUUGACCCGCUUCCAGCUGAUUCGACAUAGAUUUGUCUUUUUCACGAGAGAUGGAUAAAAUCUUUUGACACCCAACCAUUUUGUCAAUUGUAUAUUAAAUAUGGCCUAGUAUGUUAGAAAAAUGAUUUGGACCAAUUUUGAAACAAAUAUAUGGUAGGUCCUUCACAAAAAACUCAUUUCACGCACUUGAAAAAUGAAAAAUGAAUUUUUCAUACAAGGAAGAUGAAAACUUCCUUAAUCAACAUUGUUUGUCAUUCCAACAUGCACCAUUAUGCAAAAUAUAAUACCAUUUAAACAAACUAUGCCAUGAAUAUUGCCAUGAGAUUGAUCAUGUGGCUUGAAAGCCAUGAAUCUACACACAUGAUAGCUCAUUUGUGUGAACACUUUUUAAAAAUAAUUGUCGUAUGACAAGUUUAUUAUUUUACAUGGUAACUUUAUCACAUAUGAUGACAUAAUGCAAAUGUUUCCCAUUUUUUGUUUUUUUUGAAUUUUUCAUGGCCUUUCAAAAUGCGGUCGAAACGACGGGCAUGACCGUUCCUACCUAAUGGUUGAAUCUUGGAAAUCUUUUGGUGUUUCUAUGAUUAAAUAGAUACUUGUGUACCUAGAAAUGAUUUUUGGAAAAAAAAGCAAACUAUAAGGCAACCGCAGUUCAAAUUUGACCCGCUUCGAGGUGAUUCGACAUAGAUUUGUCUUUUUCACGAGAGAUGGAUAAAAUCUUUUUAACCAAUCUAAAUAGGAAAAUGCAAGUUAUUCAUGGUCCUAAAUAAAUAGCAACAAACUUUUCCUAAUUUGGCUUUUUUACCCUUUUCCUUUAUUCUUUUCGCAUGGGCCCUUGAGAGAGAUUUAGACCAGCCCACCAAGGGCUGAUACACCUCCUCUCAUAGCCCAUGAGCCACUCGGUUCAUUUUCUCUUGCUGUUUGUAUGUUUUGAAGUGCUCGUAGCCUUUUUUCAUACAAGGGAGAUGAAAACUUCCUUAAUCAACAUUGUUUGUCAUUCCAACAUGCACCAUUAUGCAAAAUAUGAGACCAUUUCAAUAAACUAUGCCAUGAAUAUGGCCAUGAGAUUGAUCAUGUGGCUUGAAAGCCAUGAAUCUUCACACAUGAUAUAUAGCUCAUUUGUGUGAACACUUUUUAAAAAUAAUUGUCGUAUGACAAGUUUAUUAUUUUACAUGGUAACUUUAUCACAUAUGAUGACAUAAUGCAAAGGUUUCCCAUUUCUUUGAUUUUUUUUGAAUUUUUCAUGGCCUUUCAAAAUGCGGUCGAAACGACGGGCAUGACCGUUCCUACCUAAUGGUUGAAUCUUGGAAAUCUUUUGGUGUUUCUAUGAUUAAAUAUAAGGCAACCGCAGUUCAAAUUUGACCCGCUUCGAGCUGAUUCGACAUAGAUUUGUCUUUUUCACGAGAGAUGGAUAAAAUCUUUUGACACCCAACCAUUUUGUCAAUUGUACAUUAAAUAUGGCUUAAUAUCUUAGAAAAAUGAUUUGGACCAAUUUUGAAACAAAUAUAUGGCAGGUCCUUCACAAAAAAACUCAUUUCGGGCACUUGAAAAAUGAAAAAUGAUUUUUUCAUACAAGGGAGAUGAAAACUUCCUUAAUCAACAUUGUUUGUCAUUCCAACAUGCACCAUUAUGCAAAAUAUGAGACCAUUUCAAUAAACUAUGCCAUGAAUAUGGCCAUGAGAUUGAUCAUGUGGCUUGAAAGCCAUGAAUCUUCACACAUGAUUGCUCAUUUGUGUGAAAACUUUUUAAAAAUAAUUGUCGUAUUACAAGUUUAUUAUUUUACAUGGUAACUUUAUCACAUAUGAUGACAUAAUGCAAAGGUUUCCCAUUUNNNNNNNNNNNNNNNNNNNNNNNNNNNNNNNNNNNNNNNNNNNNNNNNNNNNNNNNNNNNNNNNNNNNNNNNNNNNNNNNNNNNNNNNNNNNNNNNNNNNNNNNNNNNNNNNNNNNNNNNNNNNNNNNNNNNNNNNNNNNNNNNNNNNNNNNNNNNNNNNNNNNNNNNUCUAUGAAUAAAUAGAUACUUUUGUAUCUAGAAAUGAUUUUUGGAAAAAAUAAAGAGCAAACUAUAAGGCAGCCGCAGUUCAAAUUUGACCCGCCUCCACCUGAUUCGACAUAGAUUUGUAUUUUUCACGAGUGAUGGAUAAAAGCUUUUGACACCCAACCAUUUUGUCAAUUGUAUAUUAAAUAUGGCCUAGUCGUUCCUACCUAGUGGUUGAAUCUUGGAAACCUUUUGGUGUUUCUAUGAUUAAAUAUAUACUUGUGUACCUAGAAAUGAUUUUUGGAAAAAAUAAAGAGCAAACUAUAAGGCAGCCGCAGUUUAAAUUUGACCCGCUUCGAGCUGAUUCGACAUAGAUUUGUCUUUUUCACGAGAGAUGGAUAAAAGCUUUUGAUACCCAAUCAUUUUGUGAAUUGUACAUUAAAUAUGGCCUAGUAUGUUAGAAAAAUGAUUUGGACCAAUUUUGAAACAAAUAUAUGGUAGGUCCUUCACAAAAAAACUCAUUUCGGGCACUUGAAAAAUGAAAAAUGAAUUUUUCAUACAAGGAAGAUGAAAACUUCCUUAAUCAACAUUGUUUGUCAUUCCAACAUGCACCAUUAUGCAAAAUAUGAGACCAUUUCAACAAACUAUGCCAUGAAUAUGGCCAUGAGAUUGAUCAUUUGGCUUGAAAGCCAUGAAUCUUCACACAUGAUAGCUCAUUUGUGUGAACACUUUUUAAAAAUAAUUGCCGUAUUACAAGUUUUUAAUUUUACAUGGUAACUUUAUCACAUAUGAUGACAUAAUGCAAAUGUUUCCCAUUUUUUGUUUUUUUUGAAUUUUUCAUGGCCUUUCAAAAUGCGGUCGAAACGGCGGGCAUGAUCGUUCCUACCUAGUGGUUGAAUCUUGGAAACCUUUUGGUGUUUCUAUGAUUAAAUAUAUACUUGUGUACCUAGAAAUGAUUUUUGGAAAAAAUAAAGAGCAAACUAUAAGGCAGCCGCAGUUUAAAUUUGACCCGCUUCGAGCUGAUUCGACAUAGAUUUGUCUUUUUCACGAGAGAUGGAUAAAAGCUUUUGAUACCCAAUCAUUUUGUGAAUUGUACAUUAAAUAUGGCCUAGUAUGUUAGAAAAAUGAUUUGGACCAAUUUUGAAACAAAUAUAUGGUAGGUCCUUCACAAAAAAACUCAUUUCGGGCACUUGAAAAAUGAAAAAUGAAUUUUUCAUACAAGGAAGAUGAAAACUUCCUUAAUCAACAUUGUUUGGCAUUCCAACAUGCACCCUUGUGCAAAAUAUGAGACGAUUUCAACAAACUAUGCCGGAAGAUCAACAACUAGUGGUCAUGAUGUCUUUUUAUGUGUGAUUGAUGGUCAUGAUCUGUUUAUAGCAACUGGUUAGGACACUUCAUUGUCAUGGACACUUAAACACGUAAUACAACAAAUUAAGUGCUCUCUUUAGCUAGCAGAUUUCACAUAAUACAACAAAUAACAUAUACCAGUCUAGUUCUCUUUAGCUAGCAGAUUUCACAUAAUUUUCACACUUAAAGACAUUUGCAACAAAUAAGAAGUCACUUAAACCAAUCUAUGAACAAAUAAGAUACAACAAGUAAGAUCAACCAAUCUAUCAACAUACUUGGGUUGAACAAAGAUAAAGUCACUUAAUUAUACAUAAUUAAGAGAUUCUUCUCAUCUUGCAUUACAACAUUGCUACAAAAGAGCAACACACCAACAAUAGCAUAGUGCAGUUACAAACAUAGCAUAGUGGAGUCACUUAAUCAUACAUAAUAUAGAGAUUCUGAUCAUCUUGCAUUACAACAUUGGUACAAAAGAGCAACACAACAACACAUCAACCAUAGCAUAGUGGACUUCAUCUUCAUCUGAUCAGCUCAUCCAUCCAAAAUGUCCCUGAUCAUCUUCAACUUCUCUUGGUUCUUCUCCAAUGCCUUCAACUGAUCAGCAAUCUGGAUCUUCAGCUCAUCCCUGCGUUUAAUCAGAUUCUCAAUUGCAUUCUUCAGACCAUCAAUUUUGUCCUCAGAUUUUGAUAGUUUAUCAACCUGAAGCUUUAAAUUGUAGUUCUCUUCAGUAAGCUUCUCCUUCUCCUUCAAAUGAUUUGCCUUCUGGGUCCUAAUGACCAUGCCUUGAGCUUCUGCAAGGUUGAGCAGUUGAUUCACAUCUUCUACUAGUUUGUCAUAGUUUGCAUCAAGAUUUCUUUUCUCCUCUGUGAGGUGGUGAAUUUUUAGUGAAUUCUCCAAAUUAUCAUCCCUCCUAGCACUCUUGCUGUCUUCCAACAUUUCCCACAGUUUUAACAAUGCAUUUUGCAUUGUGGGAGGCCACUCUUGGUCUACCCAACCAACAAAACCACAGUUUUGAGGUGGCUGCAAUACAAAAUAACCAGUACUUCAGCAAUAUAAAAUAACCAGAAAAUAACAAGCCAGAAUUCUGUAAUAAACAUGCAAUGACAGUGUUGUAAUAAACAAGCAAUGACAGUGCUGUAACAAGCCAGAAUCUUUUAGCUAAACUAGCAAUGAUAGUGUUGUAAUAAACAAUGAGAGUCUGAAUAUUUGAGCUAAACAAACAAUGAUAGUGAUGUAGUAAACACUGACAUUCUGAAUCUUUUGAGCUAAACAAACAAUGACAGUCUGAAUAUUUUAGCUAAACAAACAAUGACAGUGAUGUAGUAAACACUAACAGUCUGAAUCUUUUCAGCUAAACAAACAAUGACAGUCUGAAUCUUUUGAGCUAAACAAACAAUGUCAGUCAGAAUAUUUUGAGCUAAACAAACAAAAUUGCAGGGAACAACUAGAUAGAAAAAACAGAAGCAACUUCAUGCAUGUCUAACACUAAAGAAGAUAGAACUAACUGGCUGAGCACACACUAAAAUUGUUCUCCCUGUCUCAAAUCCUUCGAAUGCUACGCGACACUCAGGCGGCAGCCCAUGCUCCAAGCAAACAUCUAGGGCAGAAUUCUCGAUGCCCAUGUAGUCUUCGUCGUCGAUGCUAGAACUACGUAAGAACUGCCUUAUGUGACCUUGGAGCCGGUGUUAGUGUUAUGCCGCUCUCUCUUUAUCGUAGACUUGAGUUGGAUAAGUUGACACCCACUAAAAUUUCUCUGCAAAUGGCCGACAAAUCAACUGCUUUCCCUAUCGGCAUUUGCGAGGAUGUGCCAGUUAUGGUUGCUAAUACCACUAUCUUAACAGACUUUGUUAUCUUGGACAUUCCCGAGGACGAUGCCAUGGCUAUCAUUCUCGGAAGACCCUUUUUAAACACUGCAGGGGCUGUUAUAGAUUGCAACAAAGGCAAUGUCACUUUCCAUGUCAAUGGUAAUGAGCACACCGUGCACUUUCCGAAGAAACGAUAUCCAGUACAUUGCAUCAAUGCUAUCGAAAAGACUUCAUCGAUUCUCAUUGGGAGCUUUGAAUGCCCUAUUCCUCGUGUCAAGAUGAAGUAUGAUUUGCUUGUUGGGGAGAUACAUAUCCCCAUUGAGGUGACUUAGUGGCUAUUCGAAAAUUCUCCGUUCUCUCUUGCGAUUUGAGAAAGUUUUGUCAUAAGGACUUGAUCAAUCCCAUUGACGGAUUUCCUUCGAUGACCAUGAGACGGAUGAAUCAAAGAGUCACAUACCUAUGUUUUGAGUUUUCCUUUUCUGUUGCUUAGAAGAAAAAUGAUAGAAUUAGUUUAGUUUUUCCUGUUUUCUGUUUUAGCGUCCCGGAGAAAAAUACCUCGAAAAUAAAAGUUCUCCGAUGGUCCUGAAAAUUUAGUAUGAUUUUUUUCUGAAAUUUUUGAAAAUUUCUGGGCCUAAGAGCUGGUCAGGGGGCCUGACCAGUGGGCCACAAGCCCCCCCACCGCCACCUACCCCCCUGGUGGCGGGGUGCAAGCUUGUGGGUCCCACAGGCACCCCCUCCACUCAUUCCAGCUCUCAACCUCUUCUUCCACCUCCAGAAAAAAAUGUUUCGCAGCUCAAACCCGUGUUCUUGCUCAUUUGGCUGUGAUUUUCGAUCUCCUUGCUCAAAGCACCAUUCUCCGAACUGUUUUGGGGAAAUUGCUCCUUGGUAAGUGACUCCUCCAUUGGUCCAAUUAAUUUUUGCUCUAGUGCUUUAUCCUUCGCAAAUUCUUGCUACCUUGGUGACCUUGUUCUUGAGCUAGAAAAGUUGAUUUUAGCUAGUCCCAAGUAGUUUUAGCGCGUGAUACGGUCUCUAGGCACUAGUAGGAGUAGUUGCUACAAGGUGUGGUGGGUCUUUAUUCACUUUUCUCUUGAACUUCAAAAAUUUCAGCAUAAGGAAAUUAUUUUCAGGAGGAAGUUUCAUGGUGGUUCCUUAAGUAAGAAGGGUCCUCGUCUCAACUUUCGGGAGCACAAACCUUUUCAACUAAGGGACGCACCGGUGCAACCAUGUGAAUGGCGUUCCGAUGAGUUCAUGAUCAAAGCAGGUUUCAAGGAUGAGUUUGAUGCACUUGUCCGCAAUGCCGGAUUAGAAGAAUUCCUCUCAGAUAAAUGUGAACAGUAUGCUAUGCUCACUGCCUCUUUCGUGCAUAGAUUUAAAUUUUUAGCUGCCCGUGAAUCAUCCAUACUGUUUGAUCUGUACGAUAAAUCCUAUUACCGUGGAUCUGGAGGAUUUCAAUAGGAUCUGCAAGAUACCUGAUGGGGGUAGUGUUAAUGAUCCUCCUAAGUCUUUGGUCAGAGACUUUGUCUCCAGUAUAACUGUUGGAGAAACCAGAGAUAUCACGCAAGCCACCAUAGGAAGCAUCCAUUUCCCUGCCUUGCACUACCUUGCCCUCUUCGUAGGUAGGUGCAUUAACGGCAAGGGUGCACAUUGUCACCUAUGCACUUCCGACCUUAGUAUCCUUAAGAGCGCAGUACCAGGUGAUAGGAGCUUCAAUAUGGGAGCUAUUAUAGCAAGGAGGCUGAAUAAAAAUGCCAGUGAGGGGGAUUUGUUUGGUGGAGUUUAUGCUACACGUUUAGCAAAUUUUCUUGGAGUCUCCAUCCGUCUAGAAGACCAUCCUCUCCGUACAGCCUACCUUAAUCGUGUCGCUCUAACACGCUACCAGUUCCUUGAGAGAGAUCAUGGAUCCCUCCUAUACCGCUUGAUAUUUAACCGGCAACGUGUUUUCCAUAUUACCCUUCCUGCUCCUGCUUUCUUUGACUUUCAGGUUAAACGAAGAUACUACAUAACCAUAGGGGAGGCUGAGGAGUAUGAGAGGGAGGCGACGGCUGCUCGACUUCGUGAGGCAGCUAUUCAGGCAGUAGCUAUAGCACUCCCGUAUAACACCCAUUAUGACUUUGGGUUUCGCCAGGAUCAUCCAUGGGAGUAGACCAAGCUAGGCCAAAAGCCUAAGCUUGGGGGAGUACGUGUUCUCACCGACUUUACAUUCAUGCUUAUGCUUUCACUUUGUUAGCCGGUGUUUACACUUUGCCACUGUAUUAUCCAUGCUAGUUUCUUUUUGUUUUCUUGUUUUGUGUCCUUUUGAGAAAACCCAAAAAAAGAUUUUUCUUUCUUCUUUUGCUUGUUGGGAGCUUUCCCGUGUAAAUAGUUUUCUUUUUCGUUGUGUCAAGGUAGAAGAUAUUGGUUACAAUGCUUAGUGGUUCUUACAUGCUUACCUGUUUAGCUUUCAAAGAACCAUAUUAUUUUGUCUUCUCCUUUGUGUUUGCGUGCAGAUUCAGCUUAGUCCAACGCACUCAUUAUCAUUUACAUCGUUCGAUCGUGCAAAUGAAAGGCAACAAUGAUGAUAUAUGAUGAAGUGACUGAGACUGAAAAGCUGGUAUGAACUCUAUCUGUUUUGUUUUUGUAAAUAUGACUAGCUUGUCAACCCAUAUUUAGCUUUGUUGUGAGAGAACCAUGUUUGCAAUGACAACUUAGAGAUCAUAGUUUCUGAUGCCAUGCUUAUUUAGCUGAGAGCUUAUAAUGGUUUGUCUUGAAUGCCAACAUAGAUUUUGAGAUGACUGUGAUGUAGUAUGAUAGGAUGGUAUUAUCCUUUGAAUGUUUCAAGUAAAUUUGCAUGUGCCACUCUCUAAACCUUCAAGAAAUAAUCUGUUUUGCAUGCCCGAACCGCUCAUGUGGUGACAGAGGGCUAUUGGUAUCUUCCAUGCUAGGAGUGUUAUCCUCGACAUGUGUUUAUUCACAGUCAUUCACGAGAAAGGGGCCGGUAUUUGGGAUGCCCAGUUCCAUGCUUAAAUUGAAAACAUAACUGUAAAACAAGACUCCCCCUGGAUUGAUGUUAGUAUGGACGGUACCCGAGGAUUCGGCUAGCCGUGGAUUGUGAUUGAUUGGUGGUGGGGGAGUUAAAACUUUAUUUUUCUGUUUGGGUACCGCCUAUAUAGCAUGAGUAGCAUGGAAGAUAUUGAGAAAUCUUGGUCAUUGCGUUGACAAUGAAAGCAUGCCACCCAAAAUUAUUAUCUCUGUUUUCAAAAGCUUGAGCUCUGGCACCUCUGCAAAUCAAUGAUUUCCUCUGCGAAGGGCCUGUCUAUUUAUUUUCCUGUCGAGUCAUCCUCCUCUUAUAUAAGCACCAAUUAGAGAGCACCUCUGUUAUUUUUAUGCUUUACUUUUGAUUGAUAUUGAGUAUGACUAUGACUGGAUCUUCGUUGCUAUGAAUUACAAUGUUUAGUCAGCCCUUGAUCUUUGAAAGUGUUUUGCAUUUAAGUUUUGCGGUCUCAGAAAGAGCUAGCGAGAUACCACCUAUUCAUAUUGCUUCAUGCUUGUUUUGAUUGAAGUGUUGGUAUUUGAAACUCAUUAUUAUUUGCUCAUUAGCUGAUUAUGCCAUUGAUAUUAGUUUACCGUGAGACCUUUGUGUCAUUUGCUUAUGUGGUUAACUUGUGAUCUUGCUGAAAUUCUGGUUAUGAGUUAGAGAUAGUUGCAACAACAAGAUCAAACAGAGUUUGUCAAAGUUUUUCUUUCUCUCUCAGUUUGUCAACUGAGUUGCUUGAGGACAAGCAAGGUUUUAAGCUUGGGGGAGUUGAUACGUGUCCAUCGUAUCUACGUUUACAAACUCUUUUGCCCUUGUUUUGGACUCUAAUUUGCAUGAUUUGGAUGAAACUAACCUGGACUGACGCUGUUUUCAGCAGAAUUGCCUUGGUGUUAUUUUUGUGCAGAAAUCGAAGUUCUCCAAACGUCCUGAAAAUUUACGGGGAGCAGUUUUGGAAAAUAUCAAAAAUAUUUGCGCCAAGUUCCACCUCAGGGGGUGGGCCAGUGGGCCACAAGCCCCUGCUCCACCACCACCCCCUGAUGGCGGUGGGCGGGCUUGUGGGGGCCCACACGCACCUGCCGCCCCAACUCCAGCUCUAUAAGUUGCCUUUUGUCCCAAAAAAAUAAAAAGAGAACUUUUCGUCGCGUUUUUGAUACGGAGGCGCCGCCACCUCCUGUUCGUCAUCUGGAGGGCAGAUCUGGAGUCCGUCUUGGGCUCCGGAGAGGGGAAAUCGUCGCCAUCGUCAUCAUCAACCUUCUUCCCUCUCCAAUUCCAUGAAGCUCUUCGUCGUUCGUGAGUAAUAUAUUCGUAGGCUCGCUGGGCGGUGAUGAGUAGGAUGAGAUCUAUCAUGUAAUCGAGUUAGUUUUGAUGGGGAUUGAUCCCUAGUAUCCACUAUGUUCUGAGAUUGAUGUUUCUACUACUUUGCCAUGCUUAAUGCUUGUCACUAGGGCCUGAGUGCCAUGAUUUCAGAUCUGAAAUUAUUAUGUUGUCACCAAUAUAUGUGUGUUUUAGAUCCAAUCUUGCAAGUUGUAGUUACCUACUAUGUGUUAUGAUCCGGCAACCCCGGAGUGACAAUAACCGGAACCACUCCCGGUGAUGACCAUAGUUUGAGGAGUUCAUGUGUUCACCAAGUGCUAAUGCGUUGGUCUGGUUCUUUAUUAAAAGGAGAACCUUAAUAUCCCGUAGUUUCCUUUUGGACCCCGCUGCCACGGGAGGGAUGGACAAUAGAUGUCAUGCAAGUUCUUUUCCCUAAGCACAUAUGACGACACACGGAAUGCAUGCCUACAUCACAUUGACGAACGGGAGCUAGCCACAUAUCUCUCCGUGUUAUAGCUGUUGCAUGAUGAAUAUCAUCCAAACAAAUCACCGACCCAUUGCCUAUGAGUUUGUCCUAUUGCUGUUGCUACUACUGUUGCUACUGAUGUUACUUGUCUUGCUCUGCUGCUGCUGCUCCUACUGUUGCUACUGCUGUUACUUGUCUUGCUCUGCUGCUACUACCGUUGCUACUACUGUCGCUUGCUACUGUUGCUACUUGCUACUGCUGCCACUACUGCUGUUCCUUGCCAUUACUAUUGCUCGUUACACUGCUGCUACUGUUGGAAUUAUGCCCUAGAGGCAAUAAUAAAUAUAGUUAUUAUUUUAAUUCCUGUAUCAAGAUAAUCGUUUAUUAUCCAUGCUAUAAUUGUAUUGGAUGAAGACUCAUUUACAUGUGUGGAUACAUAGACAAAACACUGUCCCUAGCAAGCCUCUAGUUGGCUAGCCAGUUGAUCAAAGAUAGUCAGUGUCUUCUGAUUAUGAACAAGGUGUUGUUGCUUGAUAACUGGAUCACGUCAUUAGGAGAAUCACGUGAUGGACUAGACCCAAACUAAUAGACGUAGCAUGUUGAUCGUGUCAUUUUGUUGCUACUGUUUUCUGCGUGUCAAGUAUUUGUUCCUAUGACCAUGAGAUCAUAUAACUCACUAACACCGGAGGAAUACUUUGUGUGUGUCAAACAUCGCAACGUAACUGCGUGACUAUAAAGAUGCUAUACAGGUAUCUCCGAAGGUGUUCGUUGAGUUAGUAUGGAUCGAGACUGGGAUUUGUCACUCUGUGUGACGGAGAGGUAUCUCGGGGCCCACUCGGUAAUACAACAUCACACACAAGCCUUGCAAGCAAUGUGACUUAGUGUAAGUUGCGGGAUCUUGUAUUACGGAACGAGUAAAGAGACUUGCCGGUAAACGAGAUUGAAAUAGGUAUACGGAUACUGACGAUCGAAUCUCGGGCAAGUAACAUACCGAAGGACAAAGGGAAUGACAUACGGGAUUAUAUGAAUCCUUGGCACUGAGGUUCAAGCGAUAAGAUCUUCGUAGAAUAUGUAGGAUCCAAUAUGGGCAUCCAGGUCCCGCUAUUGGAUAUUGACCGAGGAGUCUCUCGGGUCAUGUCUACACAGUUCUCGAACCCGCAGGGUCUGCACACUUAAGGUUCGACGUUGUUUUAUGCGUAUUUGAGUUAUAUGGUUGGUUACCGAAUGUUGUUCGGAGUCCCGGAUGAGAUCACGGACGUCACGAGGGUUUCCGGAAUGGUCCGGAAACGAAGAUUGAUAUAUAGGAUGACCUCAUUUGNNNNNNNNNNNNNNNNNNNNNNNNNNNNNNNNNNNNNNNNNNNNNNNNNNNNNNNNNNNNNNNNNNNNNNNNNNNNNNNNNNNNNNNNNNNNNNNNNNNNNNNNNNNNNNNNNNNNNNNNNNNNNNNNNNNNNNNNNNNNNNNNNNNNNNNNNNNNNNNNNNNNNNNNNNNNNNNNNNNNNNNNNNNNNNNNNNNNNNNNNNNNNNNNNNNNNNNNNNNNNNNNNNNNNNNNNNNNNNNNNNNNNNNNNNNNNNNNNNNNNNNNNNNNNNNNNNNNNNNNNNNNNNNNNNNNNNNNNNNNNNNNNNNNNNNNNNNNNNNNNNNNNNNNNNNNNNNNNNNNNNNNNNNNNNNNNNNNNNNNNNNNNNNNNNNNNNNNNNNNNNNNNNNNNNNNNNNNNNNNNNNNNNNNNNNNNNNNNNNNNNNNNNNNNNNNNNNNNNNNNNNNNNNNNNNNNNNNNNNNNNNNNNNNNNNNNNNNNNNNNNNNNNNNNNNNNNNNNNNCCUCUAGAUCGCGUUUCUGCGGAGCUCGGGCGGAGCCCUGCUGAGACAAGGUCAUCACCAACCUCCGGAGCGCCGUCACGCUGCCGGAGAACUCUUCUACCUCUCCGUAUCUCUUGCUGGAUCAAGAAGGCCGAGAUCAUCGUCGAGCUGUACGUGUGCUGAACGCGGAGGUGCCGUCCGUUCGGCACUAGAUCGUGGGACUGAUCGCGGGACGGUUCGCGGGGCGGAUCGAGGGAUGUGAGGACAUUCCACUACAUCAACCGCGUUCACUAACGCUUCUGCUGUACGGUCUACAAGGGUACGUAGAUCACACAUCCCCUCUCGUAGAUGGACAUCACCAUGAUAGGUCUUCGUGCGCGUAGGAAAUUUUUUGUUUCCCAUGCGACGUUCCCCAACAGUGGCAUCAUGAGCCAGGUUCAUGUGUAGAUGUCUUCUCGAGUAGAACACAAAAGUUUUUGUGGGCGGUGAUGUGCGUUUUGCUGCCCUCCUUAGUCUUUUCUUGAUUCCGCGGUAUAGUUGGAUCGAAGCGGCUCGGACCGACAUUACUCGUACGCUUACUUGACGAGCACUCGGGUUAAGCUUGACGAGCCUAGCAUGUGCAGACAUGGCCACAGAACACAUGAGACCGAAAGGUCGAUCAUGAAUCAUAUAGAUGAUAUGAUUAGCAUAGGGAUGCUUACCACUGAAACUAUACUCAACUCACGUGAUGAUCGGACUUGAGCUAGUGUAAGUGGAUCAUGAACCACUCAAAUGACUAGAGAGAUGUACUUUUUGAGUGGGAGUUUAGCCAGUAAUUUGAUUAAGUUAAACUCUAAUUAUCUUGAACAUAGUCUAAGUCCACUUUGAAUAUAUUUGUGUUGUAGAUCAUGGCUCACGCGACAGUCACCCUGAAUUUUAAUACGUUCCUAGAGAAAGCUAAGUUGAAAGAUGAUGGAAGCAACUUUGUAGACUGGGCUCGUAAUCUUAAGCUAAUCUUACAAGCUCGGAAGAAGGAUUAUGUCCUUAAUGCUGCGCUAGGAGAUGAACCACCCGCUACGGCUGAUCAGGAUGUUAAGAACGCUUGGUUAGCACGUAAGGAGGACUACUCAGUAGUUCAAUGUGCAGUCUUGUAUGGCUUAGAACCGGGACUUCAACGUCGCUUUGAGCGUCAUGGAGCAUUUGAGAUGUUCCAGGAGUUGAAGUUUAUCUUUCAGAAGAACGCCCGGAUCGAGAGGUAUGAGACCUCCGAUAAAUUCUAUGCUUGCAAGAUGGAGGAGAACUCGUCUGUCAGUGAACAUGUGCUCAAAAUGUGUGGGUACUCAAACCGUCUAGCUGAGGUAGGGAUUGAACUCCCGCAAGAGGCUAUCACUGACAGAAUCCUUCAAUCACUGCCGCCAAGCUAUAAAGGCUUUGUGUUGAACUACAACAUGCAAGGGAUGAACAAGUCUCCCGGCGAGUUGUUUGCGAUGCUGAAAGUCGCAGAGUCUGAACUUCGUAAAGAGCAUCAAGUGUUGAUGGUGAAUAAGACCACUAGUUUCAACAGAAACGACAAAGGCAAGAAGGGUAAUUCAAAGAAGAGCGGCAAGCCUGUUGCCAAUCCGACGAAGAAACCCAAAGCUGGACCUAAGCCUGAAACAGAGUGUUACUAUUGCAAGGGUAUGGGUCACUGGAAGCGCAAUUGCCCCAAGUAUCUGGCUGAUAAGAAGGUGGCCAAAGAAAAAUCAGGUAUAUUUGAUAUACAUGUUAUUGAUGUGUACUUAACCGGCUCUCGUAGUAGUGCCUGGGUAUUCGAUACCGGUUCUGUUGCUCAUAUUUGCAACUCGAAACAGGAACUGCGGAAUAAACGAAGGCUGGCGAAAGAUGAAGUGACGAUGCGCGUAGGAAAUGGUUCCAAGGUUGAUGCAAUCGCCGUCGGCACAAUUUCUCUUCAGUUACCAUCAGGAUUAGUUAUGAACUUGAAUCAUUGUUAUUUAGUGCCUGCGUUGAGCAUGAACAUUAUAUCUGGAUCUUGUUUAUUGCGAGACGGUUACUCUUUUAAGUUAGAGAAUAAUGGUUGUUCUAUUUCUAUGAGUAAUAUCUUUUAUGGUCAUGCACCCAAUGUGAGAGGAUUGUUCAUAUUGAAUCUUGAUAGUGAUACACACAUACAUAACAUUGAGACCAAAAGAGUUAGAGUUAACAAUGAUAGCGCCAUAUUUUUGUGGCACUGCCGCUUAGGUCAUAUUGGUGUAAAGCGCAUGCAGAAACUCCAUGCCGAUGGACUUUUGGAGUCACUUGACUUUGAUUCACUUGACACGUGCGAACCAUGCCUCAUGGGCAAGAUGACUAAAACUCCGUUCUCCGGAACAAUGGAGCGUGCAAGUGACUUGUUGGAAAUCAUACAUACCGAUGUGUGUGGUCCGAUGAGCGUAGAGGCACGUGGCGGAUAUCGUUAUUUUCUCACCUUCACUGAUGAUUUGAGUAGAUAUGGUUAUGACUACUUAAUGAAGCACAAGUCUGAAACAUUUGAAAAGUUCAAGCAAUUUGAGAGUGAAGUUGAAAAUCAUCGUAACAAGAAGAUCAAGUUCCUACGGUCUGAUCGUGGGGGUGAAUAUCUGAGUUUCGAGUUUGGUGCUCACUUAAGACAAUGUGGAAUUGUUUCACAGUUGACACCGCCUGGAACUCCACAUCGUAAUGGUGUGUCCGGACGUCGUAAUCGUACUUUAUUAGAGAUGGUGCGAUCUAUGAUGUCUCUUACCGAUUUGCCGUUAUCGUUUUGGGGUUAUGCAUUAGAAACAGCUGCAUUCACUUUAAAUAGGGCACCAUCAAAAUCCGUUGAGACGACACCAUACGAACUGUGGUAUGGCAAAAGGCCAAAGUUUUCGUUUCUUAAAGUUUGGGGAUGUGAUGCUUAUGUCAAAAAGCUUCAUCCUGAAAAGCUGGAACCCAAAGCGGAAAAGUGCAUCUUCAUAGGUUAUGCAAAAGAGACAGUUGGGUACACCUUCUAUCUCAAAUCCGAGGGCAAAGUGUUUGUUGCUAAAAACGGAGCUUUUCUCGGGAAGGAGUUUCUCUUGAGAGAACUGAGUGGGAGGAAGAUAGAACUUGACGAGGUUGUCGAACCUCUCAUCCCUCUGGAUGGUGGCGCAGGGCAAGGGGAAACCUCUGUCGUUGCGACGCCGGUUGAGGAGGAAGUUAAUGAUGAUGAUCACGAAACUCCGGUUCAAGUUUCUGUCGAACCACGCAGGUCGACGAGACCACGUGCUGCUCUAGAGUGGUACGGUAAUCCCGUUUUAUCAAUCAUGUUGUUGGACAACAAUGAACCUACAAAUUAUGAAGAAGCAAUGGUGGGCCCAGAUUCCAACAAAUGGCUAGAAGCCAUGAAGUCCGAGAUAGGAUCCAUGUAUGAGAACAAAGUGUGGACUUUGGAAGUACUGCCUGAGGGCCACAAGGCUAUUCAGAACAAAUGGAUCUUUAAGAGGAUGACGGACGCUGACGGCAAUGUGACCGUUUAUAAAGCUCGACUUGUGGCAAAGGGUUUUUCACAAGUUCAAGGAGUUGACUACGAUGAGACAUUCUCACCCGUAGCGAUGCUUAAGUCCGUCAGAAUCAUGUUAGCAAUAGCUGCAUUUUUCGAUUAUGAAAUCUGGCAGAUGGAUGUCAAAACGGCGUUCCUUAACGGUUUCCUUAAGGAAGAGUUGUAUAUGAUGCAACCCGAAGGUUUUUUCGAUCCUAAGAAUGCUAACAAGGUGUCCAAGCUCCAGCGAUCCAUUUAUGGACUGGUGCAAGCAUCUCGGAGUUGGAACAAACGCUUUGAUGAGGUGAUCAAAGCAUUUGGGUUUAUACAAGUGGUUGGAGAAUCUUGUAUUUACAAGAAAGCGAGUGGGAGCUCUGUGGCGUUUCUAAUAUUAUAUGUGGAUGACAUAUUGCUGAUUGGAAACAACGUGGAUUUUUUGGAGAGCAUAAAGGAUUACUUGAAUAAAAGUUUCUCUAUGAAGGACCUAGGAGAAGCUGCUUACAUUCUAGGCAUUAAGAUCUCCAGGGAUAGAUCAAAACGCCUGAUAGGACUUUCACAAAGCACAUACCUUGAUAAAGUUUUGAAGAGGUUCAAAAUGGAACAGUCCAAGAAAGGGUUCUUGCCAGUUUUACAAGGUACGAGAUUGAGUAAGACUCAGUGCCCAGCAACUGAUGAGGAUAGAGAGCAUAUGCACACCGCCCCCUAUGCUUCAGCCAUAGGUUCUAUCAUGUAUGCAAUGCUGUGCACUAGACUAGACGUUAGCCUGGCCAUAAGUAUGGCAGGUAGGUUCCAGAGUAAUCCAGGAGUGGAUCACUGGACGACGGUCAAGAAUAUCCUGAAGUACCUGAAAAGGACUAAGGAGAUGUUUCUCGUGUAUGGAGGUGACGAAGAGCUCGCCGUAAAAGAUUACGUCGAUGCAAGCUUUGACACAGAUCCGGACGACUCUAAGUCGCAAACCGGAUACAUAUUUAUUCUUAAUGGGGGUGCGAUAAGCUGGUGCAGUUCCAAGCAAAGCGUCGUAGCAGAUUCUACAUGUNNNNNNNNNNNNNNNNNNNNNNNNNNNNNNNNNNNNNNNNNNNNNNNNNNNNNNNNNNNNNNNNNNNNNNNNNNNNNNNNNNNNNNNNNNNNNNNNNNNNNNNNNNNNNNNNNNNNNNNNNNNNNNNNNNNNNNNNNNNNNNNNNNNNNNNNNNNNNNNNNNNNNNNNNNNNNNNNNNNNNNNNNNNNNNNNNNNNNNNNNNNNNNNNNNNNNNNNNNNNNNNNNNNNNNNNNNNNNNNNNNNNNNNNNNNNNNNNNNNNNNNNNNNNNNNNNNNNNNNNNNNNNNNNNNNNNNNNNNNNNNNNNNNNNNNNNNNNNNNNNNNNNNNNNNNNNNNNNNNNNNNNNNNNNNNNNNNNNNNNNNNNNNNNNNNNNNNNNNNNNNNNNNNNNNNNNNNNNNNNNNNNNNNNNNNNNNNNNNNNNNNNNNNNNNNNNNNNNNNNNNNNNNNNNNNNNNNNNNNNNNNNNNNNNNNNNNNNNNNNNNNNNNNNNNNNNNNNNNNNNNNNNNNNNNNNNNNNNNNNNNNNNNNNNNNNNNNNNNNNNNNNNNNNNNNNNNNNNNNNNNNNNNNNNNNNNNNNNNNNNNNNNNNNNNNNNNNNNNNNNNNNNNNNNNNNNNNNNNNNNNNNNNNNNNNNNNNNNNNNNNNNNNNNNNNNNNNNNNNNNNNNNNNNNNNNNNNNNNNNNNNNNNNNNNNNNNNNNNNNNNNNNNNNNNNNNNNNNNNNNNNNNNNNNNNNNNNNNNNNNNNNNNNNNNNNNNNNNNNNNNNNNNNNNNNNNNNNNNNNNNNNNNNNNNNNNNNNNNNNNNNNNNNNNNNNNNNNNNNNNNNNNNNNNNNNNNNNNNNNNNNNNNNNNNNNNNNNNNNNNNNNNNNNNNNNNNNNNNNNNNNNNNNNNNGGGAUUAUAUGAAUCCUUGGCACUGAGGUUCAAGCGAUAAGAUCUUCGUAGAAUAUGUAGGAUCCAAUAUGGGCAUCCAGGUCCCGCUAUUGGAUAUUGACCGAGGAGUCUCUCGGGUCAUGUCUACAUAGUUCUCGAACCCGCAGGGUCUGCACACUUAAGGUUCGACGUUGUUUUAUGCGUAUUUGAGUUAUAUGGUUGGUUACCGAAUGUUGUUCGGAGUCCCGGAUGAGACCACAGACGUAACGAGAGUUUCCGGAAUGGUCCAGAAACGAAGAUUGAUAUAUAGGAUGACCUCAUUUGAUUACCGGAAGGUUUUCGGAGUUACCGGGAAUGUACCGGGAAUGACGAAUGGGUUCCGGGAGUUCACCGGGGGGGGGGGCAACCCCCCCCGGGGAAGCCCAUAGGAAUGACGAAUGGGUUCCGGGAGUUCACCGGGGGGGAACCCACCCCGGGGAAGCCCAUAGGCAUUGGGGGUGGCGCACCAGCCCUUAGUGGGCUGGUGGGACAGCCCAAAAGAGCCCUAUGCGCCAUAGGAAGAAAAAUCAAAGAGAAAAAAAAGAGGAGGUGGGAAAAGGGGGAAGGACUCCUCCUUCCAAACCUAGUUGGACUCGGUUUGGAAGGGGAGGGCCGCCCCCCUUGGCUCGGCCGAAGCCCUUAGGGGUCCUUGGACCCCAAGGCAAGGCUCCCCCUCUUCCCCCUAUAUACGGAGGUUUUAGGGCUGAUUUACACAACUUUGCCACGGCAGCCCGACCACAUAUCUCCACAGUUUUACCUCUAGAUCGCGUUUCUGCGGAGCUCGGGCGGAGCCCUGCUGAGACGAGAUCAUCACCAACCUCUAGAGCGCCGUCACGCUGCCGGAGAACUCUUCUACCUCUCCGUAUCUCUUGCUGGAUCAAGAAGGCCGAGAUCAUCGUCGAGCUGUACGUGUGCUGAACGCGGAGGUGCCGUCCGUUCGGCACUAGAUCGUGGGACUGAUCGCGGGACGGUUCGCGGGGCGGAUCGAGGGAUGUGAGGACAUUCCACUACAUCAACCGCGUUCACUAACACUUCUGCUGUACGGUCUACAAGGGUACGUAGAUCACACAUCCCCUCUCGUAGAUGGACAUCACCAUGAUAGGUCUUCGUGCGCGUAGGAAUUUUUUUGUUUCCCAUGCGAUGUUCCCCAACAGCUACCUGCUACACAGUUGGUUCACCUACCGUUGACGGGAAUUGACAACUUCCGUCGACGCGGCAACGAAGGCGCCAUUGAUACAAUUGUUAGGAAUAGUCUGCCGUCAACAGAUCAUUUCUGACACUGUUGUUAUCAUAUUACUUUGCUGUUACUACUGUGCUUGCAGAUACAAAUCUUUUAGGUGUGGUUGAAUCUGACAAAUUCAGUUGCUAAUACUCGAGAGUAUACUCUCACCUCCUGACUGGCUUAUCAACAAAUUGGGUCAAAUACUCUACCCUCGAAAACUGCUGCGAACCCACGCGCUGGUGGGCCAUCAACAACAUUCUUCUAGUCUCAUUACUAGGGAGUGCUUUCAGCAUUCUUCUGGUGCCGCUGCAGGGGAAGGUUUGUUGUCAUAAGCAUUCGUCUAGCUAACGUCAGAGAUUGUAGGAUCAACACUUUUCUGGUGCCAUUGCCAGGGAAGCACAGCUGACGUCAGCGUCCCGUCACUAUCACCGGUUCUCUGCCUUGUCCACAAUGACACAUGCGGUCCACGGGCGCAUGCGGUUGUACUCGUCUAGGUGAAUCGAGAGAUGAGAAAGGAAAUACCGAGAAAAAUUCCAAGCUGAGGUGUAUGUCGAAAACCGCUAAAUGCAAGUUUAAUAUGAGAAACUCAUGUAAUUUUUUCAAGCCGGAAAACAAUGACCCAAAUAUCAGCGGGUUUCCUUUACAUGGGAGGUAUAUAUUUUAGUCUGUCUAGGGCAUAUCAAAUGUACCCUAAUUAUUGCACAUCUAAGUGACUCAAUCAUGCACAAAAAGAAAAAGAAAACGGAAAUGAUAAAUCCUAAAUGUUCAAAUUUGAAGCAUGGAAACCCAAACGCUUUUCAUGGCAACUUUAGUUCACGCGAUGUGUGCAAAAAUGGCAUUGUUCUGACCAAAAAACAAACUGAGACAAAGUUGCCACCCUGCAUCAACUAAAGUUGCCAUGAAAAAACAUUUGGGAUGAGUGGAUGACAUAUUUGAAAUCCGAAUGUUUGGUGUUUAUUGGGGCCCAAAGAAAAUACCCACAUAAAUCUCCAUGUAAUAUUAAUGACAUAGGAUUUAGAUAUACAAUACUUAUGUCGUAUCUAGACAUGCUCUAGCAAAACUGUAUUUUACGAAGGGAUUCAGCUCGAAAACAAAGUUUCAGUCAAGACCUCAGCAUCCAAGUUGCAGCUGACGCUUGCCCUUGCACCUGAGUUUGAGUGCUUGGGCCAGGAUAACCAUGUGCCUGGGUGGAAUAAAGCCACGCAAGCCAUCGACUCUCCAGGACGCAUACCAAACAUCCACACCUUAUGACUAUGAAUCAAACCAAACAACCUCAAGAAUCAUUAUUGUUUAACAAGUUUUCACGAUGCCACUCAUUUCGAAGUCUUGGUGCUUGAGUGUACCAUAUUUGCAUCAACAAAUCAUUUUAUCUUCACACGAGUUGUACCAAACAAAAGAGGCUAAAAUGUGUUGAACAUGUGUUUGGUUAGGACGACAAACAUUGUUAAUCACAGGUCACAAGAAUAUUCCCGUCCCUGUGUGAACUAACUUCUAGGAAGGGAACUGCAAAGAUGAUACUCUAUGCUACUUGUGCCCCAGUUGCUUGAGGUAAUAAGCUUGCACAUGGUGAAGUUAUUUUCAAGUCCCUCCCCCUACAACUUUCAUGUAUCUACGUACCGUCGCAAAUAUGAAUGGUGGUGAGUGAAUGAUAGAAGGUAUCAAUCUAUUACUAGUGGAAUCUAUCAUUUGACAAUGGCUGGCAAAGAGGUCGUGCUCAAGGUCAGGGCCUCACAUAUUUCACACUUGAGUGAAAAUAUCUUCUGCAUCACGGGCUAGCUUAAAGCCGAUGUGACCAAAUAUCAAUAUUUUCUCAUGGACACUUUUUAUACAAUGGAAGAAUCACUAGGAUGAAACAUUCAAUGCACACACCUAAUUUUGGUAGGUGUGUACAAACAAAUAGCAACCAUGCUACACAAUGAUAUGGUAACCUGGAAACAACCACUUUAAUUUAAACCACCGACAAGAAGCAACACAUAAUUUUCUUUGUGUUGCUACUACAUAUUAGAUGGAGUGUGUGUGCACGUGUUUAUAAGAAAAGAUUUUCUAGGCCACCCAUGAGCCAUGACAUUCAAGCCAAAUCCUUGAUAUACCAAGGAUUAUUGUUCUCUAUGAUGAUGAACAUCAAUUAAGAGUCUGAUGUAAUCUAUUAUACUAAAUCAUGUGGAAUAUUGAGGCAUUUGUUUGGGAGAAUACUUAUUAAACUUGCCUCGGCCUUUAAUUUGUCUGCUUUUUCGUCAUUAUGCAUGCGUAUUUGUUUUGCUUGACUAGUGAUGGUAGGUAGAAAUAGUUGAUAUUGUUGUGUUUGUUCUUUUUGGUGAUUAAAACAUAUGACAAGUGUGAUGUAACCCAUUGUAUUCUGUUAAACCAUGUGGAUAAUCAAGGCAUUUGUAUGAGAGAACAUGCUCAGUCUUUAACUUUGUGACUCAAUUUUAGGAUUAACUGCAUUGUUGGCCCAAUGAGGAAAACAAUUGUUGUAUGAUCCACCUGAUGACAGAAUCUUCCUUCAUAUUCGAAGUUCAAAACAACUUCAUAUUUGCUCUCUUCUGGAGAAAGAUUCAUCUCACUCUUACAUUCUUAUAUGCUUUCUGUUUGUUCAUCUAACCCACUAAUCAUCACGGGAUGAGGCCGAUCAAAUCUGAACACUUAAUACUCAUGUUUGCAACAAUUAAACUAUAUUGUUGUCUUCUCCUACUUUGUACUCUUUACGUUUUAAAAUAUAUUGCACAUCCUUUUGCAAUUAUAUGUGGUGGAAAAAUAAGACAAUGAGGAGGAUCAAGAGGAAGCUCCAAAAGAUGAGGCAUGAGUCAAAGUACAUGAGCAACAAGGAGAGGAAGCUUCAUCUUUCAUCAUUUUAUGGGUCCAUCUCGGCUCAUAUGUCCCGGUGGUUCUUAUUGUGGGAGAUGUGAAACUUUGUAAUAUGAUGAUGAUUUGAUGACCAUAUUUUAUUUUAUUUUAUUUCUGAGUGUUAAUCACUCAUCAGAUAUUUGUAACACAAAAAUAUAAUUUCCUGCUUUCCUCUAACCAUCUGAGCAAAUUGUUUGGCUCAUCAACAUGUUAUUUUGUGACGUGGUACUUUCUUCAAUCUUUUGGUUCAAACCAUGCCAAGAAAUAAACAUGUUUCUAUUUCUAUGGCAUGUUUGCCUGCGCAUCGUGGUUAGCUAUUGAAUGGAAGGAUUGCUAAUCUGUUCUCUCACUGAGAGGUUAUUGUUUUUCUUUCUCUUGUACAUUCGUGAAAAGGAGUAGGAUGUUAUGCCACCCACUUGGAGUUUACCCUUGCAUGCAGUUUGAUCAAGGAUUUCCCAUUCAUAAUAAAUACUGAAUUUAGAGAAGUCACCCAGAUGUCGACCAUAAGAAAAUAAUAUAUUUUAUAUCUGAAAUGUGCCACUUGGGCGGAAAGAAAAAAACUCAUCUCUCAAAUUUUUAGAGUAAUUCCACAUGAGGUUGGUGGUGAAACAUCAUUUGUACUUUCUCCAAAGGAAGAAAAUUGCUAAUACCCAAUAACACAUACCUAAUCAUCUUGCGUGUAACAUCCCAAAAUUUUAAAUUUUGGAAUAUUAUAUUAAAUAAGUGAUUAUAAUUGCUUGAGUGAUUGUUGUUUGAAAUUGAGUGGAAUUUGAAACUUUUGAAAACUUAAUGGGGGUGGGAAUAAAAGGACUUUCCCAUUUUUUUCCUUGAUGACAAUUUGAAUUUCAGUUGAAAAUAAUUCAAAUCAAAAACUUUAUGCCACUCAAGGAUUUUCAUGAGAGAAGAUAAUAGAACUUCUUCAAAGUAUGAAAUAGAGUCUGAAGUUAUGAAAAAAUGUUUUUGAAUUCACUUUUGGAAAGUUUUCAUUUUGAGUUUCAUAUUCCUUUCCAUUUACUCAAAUAAAAUUAAGAGAAAAGGAAAUAUGACUCCUUCAAAUAUUAGAAAGAAAAUGUGGAAAAUGAAAUAUCAAACCAACAUAAAGUUAUUUGAAAUCCAAUUAAAACUUAUUUUUGGAAUCUUCAAAAAUAUAUAUUUUCAAACAGUAUUUUUUUCUGGCCUUUAAAAUAUGUUCACAUUUUAAGAUGAAAAAUUCAAUAUAUAACAUGUCUAUAUAAGACUUUUUUAUUCUUCUUUUCUAUUUCCUUUCUUUAUGUUUUUAAUAUAAAAAGAGAAAAUGGCUGCAGCCCACCAACGCAUGAGAAGAAGGCCCAGCGCACCCCGGGCCAUCUUCCACCUCAGAUUCACGUACAUGUACACAAAAACAAGAACUACAUGGCUUGCCCUUUUCCUUCCCUCCUUCCAUUGAUUUCUUUCCCGGAAUCACUUCGGUGUCUACACAAAAAUUGUGGAGAAUAUUAUGACGAAUACAUUCAGGGAACUAAAUCUCGUUUUAAUGCGGUGAUUAUCCAGAAAUACCUUCACCGACACCAUUAAUGGCCUCCAGAAAUCUCGCCUCGGAUCUCCUUGAACUGACCUCCCCUCCUCCUAUAAAAGGGACCCCAAGAAGCAUCUCGAUCCACUUAAUAUCCACAUCAAAAAGAACCUUUCUAAUCGUCCUACUCCACAAGGAAUUGCUCAUCGGAAUUCAUCAACUCCGACGACUUCUCAACACCCGCUCGAGGCUCGGUUGACCCUUCCUCGAUAGGCCUCCCCGGAAGUAGCUGCGACACCCUCCUCUCCGUCACCUCUAGAAAUCUCGUAUUUUUUUUAAAAGAGAGCAAUUUUAGAAAACUCAUAACUAUUAGCCUACUUAUCCAAAUUGAGUGAUUCCAAUUGCUAUGGUUUCACAAAAAUAUGUAGUUUCUGUUAGAUCCAAAAAAUUCAUGUUUAAACAUUUAAAAAUUGAAUUUGGAUAGAAUUGCUUUAAACUCUAGAUUGUGAAUAUCUUUUCAUAGAAAAUAGGUUUUUAUUUGAUUCUUUUUGCAAUUUGUCAGUAGGUCUAUUGCCAAUCAAGUAGGGUUUCAAAAAUUAUUUUUGGAUUAAUUUAAAAUUGAUUUUCAGCAAAAACAGUACUGUUUCAACUGUAGAUUUGUUUUAUUCUUAACUAUUUGUUUUUAAUUCUUAUUAAGUAUUUAUUUUUUGUCACUUUUGACAAAUUAUAAUAUUUUUUCUGUUAGAAAUUAGUAUACAAUUUUAUUUAUUAAUUAAAAUUAUUUUACUACCAUUUUGUAUUAAAAAUUGUAUAGAUCAUAACUAGAGUUGUAUAAUAGCAAUUAGAUAGAUUCUUUUUACAAUUAAAACUUUGAGAAGAAUACUUUCUGUUAAGUUAUUAGUUUAACAUUUUUAUUUUAUGCUAAUUUAUUAGUUUAGUGUUUUAACUAGUGGUUAAGUUUUAUUUAGGGAAAAACUAUUUUUUGUUGUAUGUUGUGAAUCUUUAUAGUUUUCCUGUGAAGUUUUCUUUGGAUUUUAUUAGGUUUUAUUUUGUUUUCAACUUUAUUUUUUAUUUAUUUUAUUUAUUGAUUGUUAGUUUGAGUUCUAGAAUGCUUGCUAGAUGUGAUUUCUUAUGUAAAUGCAAUAUUUGAUUAUAUAGAUUUAUCUCGGAGAGUGACGAAUAGUACUAUGAGUAAAUUUCUGAGAGCGGUAUAAUCUUCACCAACUACACGAGGCAAGUUUAGAUUGAUCAUCUCUUUAAAAUUCCUAUCUUUUAUUAGUGCCACCUUCCAUCUUGCAUCAAGUAGGUAAACUGAAAUUGCAGUCCUUGAGUAGUAUCAUGAGGUAGGAACCCCAAUACCCUUGUUACCAAGCCCCGCGAAUCAACGAAUUGUUGUUAUUGCUAAUUCUUAGUAGACAGGGAGUGGUAAAAAUGAUUCAUGAAAGUUGUGAGAGUCAAGAUGAUCUAAACCAACCUCAAGACUUCAAGACUUCAACAAUUUCAAUACACUUCUAGAUGGACUAAUUGCAAGGAGAGGGCAUAUGGGAUCCUGGAGGUGUACGAGUGAUCACCCAGUUCUACGACCUUGCGAGGGGAUCAUGUUGAUGCACCAGUGAUCACCAGUUCUACAACCUUGCCAGGGGAUCCUAGAGAUGUACCAGUGAUCACCCAGUUCUAUGACCUUGCGAGGGGAUCCUAGAGAUGUACCAGUGAUCACCAGUUCUAUGACCUUGCCAGGGAUCCUGGAGAUUUACCAGUGAACACCCAGUUCUAUGACCUUACCAGGGGAUCUUGGAGAUUUACGAGUGAACACCCAGUUCUUUGACUGUGCUAGGGGAUCCUGGAGAUGUACCAGUGAUCACCCAGUUCUAUGACCUUGCUAGGGGAUCCUCGAGAUGUACCGGUGAUCACCCAGUUCUAUGAUCGCGCCAUGGGAUCCUGGAGAUGUACCGAUGAUCACCUAGUUCUAUGACCUUUCUAGGGGAUAAUGGAGAUGUACCAGUGAUCUCCCAGUUUUUUAAUGGCCACCCAGGCUCAAAGAGAUUGACAGAUUUUUCAAGACCAGAAGCUUUCAUGUGCAGUCGCAAUCUAUUAUGGUCUCUAGCAUAGUUGAGUACUUUGAAAAGACUGUGUCUCGAUCAUCCUAUUCUCAAAUACCACGCAGUGCAAGGACUUCAAAGGAGGCGAUCAAGUCUUGGGGGGAAAGUGUGCAAACCUCUGCACAGUGUUAAACUAAUCGAUUAGUCGUGUCCCCUGUUACAAAUAGUUUGAGCGACUCUAAUUGGAUUAUCUGGAUAUUCUCAACAUAUGAUACAUUAAAUUAACUUGGGAUUUAUUACAACUAUGGGAUAUGAGAAUUUGGUUGGCGGAACCAUCUCAUUAAUGACAUCAACUUUGUAGUAUGUUUUGAUUAUUUUUAGUUAGGGAAAAAUCAGCUUUUAUGCAAAAAUUCACACAUAGAGCCUCGACUACCAUAUUGCAUAUAGUGUUAGACUUAUUUUCAUAUACCUUCAUAUGUGAUCUUGCGAGUACAUUCGAUGUAUUGACCUACACGGCUGCAACUUAUCGUGUUGCAGGAUUUCUACGACGAGUAAGAGUUACGUUGCAGGGUUAUGGUCUACACUCAAUUUGCCGUUGGCGUUGAUGGGACUCCACACCCUUAUUGAUUUGUUUCCGCUGUGAUAAAUAAGGUAUACUCUUGAUCUAUGGUAUUUAUUUUACAUGUGAUUUUUUGGUAUUUCAUCGAAGUACUGUGUGUGCCCACAUACUAAUCCAGGGGUGGCACACAAUGCAUAGAGACUUGACCGUAUUGUGUCGGGUCGCUACAAAGAUGAUAUCACAACACAUGUUGACUGUAGGAUGUGACCCUACAAACUGGAAAGCCUUAGGUAAGGAUAUCUCUAAAACUUUAUUUUCAAAAAGAUCCUUUGCUUCUCAUCUUUUUCUGAUUUGAUCAAAUAGCCCCUCUUACCUCAAAUUGUUAUAAUACACCCCUCUCCCUUUUGACCACACGACGAAUCAACUAAGGACCACCUCAGAGUAAAAAGAUCGAAGCUACAACAACUGAAGACUCCGAAUACCCUAAAGAAUCCCAAUAUCUAUAUGACCUUUAUAAAGGCGUCUUCUUUGAACCUACCACAGAGCUGUAGAAAACAUAAAGGGUAAUGAGAUCAUGUCAAGUGAUAAAUGUCCAGUACUAUUGGCAAGAUUUACAUACCUAGCAGAAUUCACAACGAUAGAAGGUUGUUCACUGUAUGGAGCGUCACUUGGAUCAUCAUUUGGAUCCUCACUUGGAUCAUCAUUUGGAGGAUCUUUUGGAUCAUCUUUAAAAUCAUCAUUUGGAUCAUUGUCAAAAUCAUGCGGCCGUUGGCCAUCAUCCGUUGGAACCUUGUCCAAAUCCUCAUCUGUUGCAACCGGCUGUUGACCAUUAUUUUCAUCAUCUGUUGCAACCGGUUGUUGACCAACAUUUUCAUCGAAGCCUUCAUCAAAACACUCUCCGAAUGCUAGAUCUACUGUGUUCUCACAAUACUUACCGAAAUGAACAGACCCAACACACCUUGUGCACUUAGGCAUCCUCGCUCCAAGUCUAGCUCCUUCGCUGCGAGGUCUGAAUCGACUCUUCCUUGGUCUAUGUGUUGCUCUCUUCAGAACUGGAGUGCAAAGCUGGAAUCCAGGGUCCACUAUGUCCCAUAGUUGUUUUCCCUCCAAAGCAGGUAAGGCAUAUGCAUAUGUGUCUUUGAACCUUGCAACAGAGUAGUAAUCAUGCACAUAUUGUUGUAUGUUCCGUGCUGUACCUGAGAGAGAAGUGAUGAAAAACAAGGCAUGAAUGCAUGGCAACCCAGUUAUCUGUCAUUGCCUACAACUGCAAGUUCUAGCUUCUAAGUCCGCUGGAUAUCUCCAUUCCCUAUUCUCUUUAUCCAAAAAUGAUAUCUCUGCUGUGGUAGCCGAGCAAGGAAUCAUGUCCAUUUCCAAGACUGUUGUUUUCUACUUCAGUUCAUUCAUCACGGAAGGGAUGAUAAUGUGGCCCAUGAAUUUUGCUGCGGCUAUUCCUACACGAUAAUGAAAUUUCUGCAUGUAUUAUAUCCUUAUCUUGUCAAGCAAAUCCCCAAAAUAAAGACCCUUUACUUUCUGGAUCGUUGAGUUUCAAGACUCUGCAAGAUUUUUGUGCACAUAGUCAACUUUUCUCAGUUCACUGAAUUGGCUUCUUGCCCAUAACUUGAUGUGGUGUGUUUCCAAGUAUUCCUUCACUUUGGCAUUCGUGUACAACUACCUCAAGCGGUAGUUGUGCUUCUUCACACAAGUCAAAGAUGCUUGCCAUAAUUUCUUGGUAUACACCUUUCCAUUGUCUUUCUUCACAAAAUUUGCAGCAAGGUGAUGUAUGCAUUCCCUAUGCUCUACUCCAGGGAACACAUUGUCCACGACCACUUAUAAACCUUUGGAGGCAUAUGUAUGAAUUACCAACCCAUUGAGAUGUGCAAUAGACCGACGUAGAUUAUGCAAAAACCAAGUCAAGCUCUUCUCAGACUCUAUAUCCACCACACCGUAUGCAACUGGAAAUACUAAAUUGUGUGCAUUAACUGCACACGCUGCUACUAACUAUCCUUUAAACCUCCAUGUGAGAGAAGUAGCAUCAAUAGCCAAAUACGGCCUGCAGCCUACCAAAAAACUCCGAGAACAAGCCUCAAAGCAGACAAAAAAAUCCUCCUAAAGCAUUCCUUGGUCUUUGUCACUCCAUUGAAUGUGUACUCCACGGUGUGGUGGUCAAUAUCUACAAUACUACCUCGGCUGGUCCUCUCCACUUCACCUUUAAAUGAAUAUGACAAUUGAAAACUUUCCUGCCAGUUACCAUAAAUAGAAUCCAUAACAUGUUGUUUACCAUUGAACACCCUCAUGUAUGGUAAAUCUAUCUUGAACUUGUCUUUGAUGUUCUUGUGCAAUUCCUUUGCACCCACUUGCUGGUUUUCUUUCACUCACUUCUUUACUUCUUCCGCCACCCAUCUUGACUUGCUCUACCGAUUGUUUCCUUUAUAAGGGUGGAUUACUGGCAUGUGUGUCUGAAAGGGUUCACUUUGACCUAAACAUUCAUGCUAUUUUGCAUUGUAGAUGCGAGCAUCCUUCAUGGACAACCCUCGGCCAGACAGUGCACUCUAUAACGUAGUUGAUCGCUCUUGUCAAGUUCCAAAGUACGUUCUGCCUUGAUGCACUAUGUCACAAGUGCAUUUCUACACUCACUCAUGGGAUGCAAAAAUUGAACCUUCUUCCAUCUGAGGGUUUAAAGGGUCCCAUUCAACAACUGCAACGUCUUCAUCCUCACCCACCGCGUCAUCCUCCACACAGACGACAUUGUCAGCCUCAUCUUGGUUUCCAACCCGAGAUGCAUGCCGUAAAUUCUGAAUAAUAUCAAAAUAUAGCCUCUCUUCAUCAACCCUAGAAUUGUAGUCAUCAGGCUCCACUUCAAGGGGGCCCUUCUGUCAGUGCCCACGCUUGUCGAGCUACCAUGUCGUCAUGCACUAACUGAAUUGUUUUGGCUAGAGCUGCCAUUACGACGACAUGGUUCUGCCCGAGAAGGUGCACCCGCCAUCCUAGGUCCAGAUGUCUGCACAACUACAUCAUUUUGCAGCCUCACAUGAAAAUUCCAUUUCUCCUUGUGCUUCCCAAACAUGGUAGGGACCUCUGCAUCAUUACUAACUUUCACCCAUUUAUUUUCCCCAUCGUAGUAUUUGUAUUCCACUUCAUCAAGCAAAUCCCAAGGAUAUUGACUGCAGAUUAACUCCCCAAAUUGUCUCAAACUUCAAUUACAAUCCAUUUGCAACAGAUAAUGGAAACCUCCUUGGAAUUUCUUCUUAUUCUUUGCAUCAAGGAUGUACCUGCCCCUUCUAAUGUGCACCAAGAAAGCAAACCGCAACUCCAUCCUAACCCACGAAAAACAGAGAUGCAAUCAACACACCAAUAGCAAAAUCAACCGCAAACCAACUCGAAUCGAGUGUUGAAAUGCACAAGCAAGCUCAAUCAGAACAGGUGGCGUGACUUACCCCUCGGGAACCCAGUCAUGGACGUGGCAGGACUACGGUCCGAUGCCUGCCUUGCCAAAUACUCUGGGUCGCCGCCGCUCGCCAUUUCGCCCUGGGGUUCACCCUCCUACUUCCUCUUUCUGCACCAGUCCCCAUCUAUCAGCACUUCGGCCGGGUGCACGGAAGGAGGCCCCGCUGCGGGUCAAGCAGGUGGCGGGCGCAAUGGCCGAACAUGCGCCCCACCCAUGGCGUCGUAAGAAGGUGGUGGCGGAGCAGGUAGCGGUGGAGCAGGACGGCCAUGGCAGCGCAGGUGGUGGCGACACCGCAGGACGGUCGUCUGGGAGCAGGUGACGACGCACAGAAAGAUUGGGUCGGGUGUGCCCGGUUUGGACACUAGGGUUUGUCGUCGUUGCGCGGUCCCACGUGUAAAGCUCCAGUCCCACUUUCACGCCAACCCUUGUAACAAGUAUUAUUAUAUGCUUUACCUCAAGGCUGGAUAUUCGGCUUAAGAA
rnacentral:lncRNA from 1 species